AAUCCUAAUUCUAAUAGAAUACUAAUUAUGCUCUAAUUAGACCAUAAUAAUGCUAAAUAAGCUUAAUCAAAUUCAGAAAACCUCAAAGAAAUUUCAAACAAACAAUAAGAAUUCUUAAAGAAAUAUUAGAAGGAUGACAAAUAUCACUCAAAUAUAUCUCAAUUCAAUCUUAAUUUGAUUCUAGUUAAAAUCCUAUUGAACUUCAUUCAAACUUUAGGCCAAAACUAAUUGAAUCUUAAAUCCUAAUAAAAUCCUAAACCCUAAAUCAAAUCCUAAACAAACCUUAAAUCAAAACCCAACGAAAUCCUAAAUCAAAUACUAAAUCCUUAAUCAAACCCUAACCAAAUCCUAAUCCAAAUCCUAAACCCUAAAUCAAACCCUAACCAAACCCUAACCAAAUCCUAAACCAAACCCUAGUAAUUCCUACAAUAGAUUUAAACCUCAAUAACUAAUGAAUAAACUAUCGAUCUUAACUCAAAUUUUGCACACUUCUUAAAAACUAAGUUGAAAACAAGCACAAAAAAAUUGAAAAAGGAUCGAAGUUACCACAUUGACGAUAACCUCAAAAAUGUGCUCAAGUAUUAGCUGGCCUCCUUCUCCAAUCUUGAUGCCAAUCUUCCAGAGCCAAUAUCUCUUCUUUGCACCAUUCUAUUGAACUUAAAAUUUUCAUACACAUAAAAAAACAAGUCUUAUAUCUUCUCACACAAGUUUCACUCCAAUCCAAUAAGUAGAUUACAAGAAAUCUUAAAAACCCUCACUAAACCUAAAAUUCUACUUUCUGAGACCUUGAUCCACUUAAACCUCAAUAUCCUUCAAUUCAAUAAUUAGAUUGAGCUCAAAUUUACAAAACAUAUUGAACACAACUAUAACCAUAAAUCCAUAAAAUUUCACCCAUAGAUCUACUACAAAACUCUUGAAAUCAUCCAAAACGUAAAUCCUAUUUUAUUUCAUAAAACCUAAGUCAUCUAAAACAAACCUUGACUUUGCAAAGCUUUUACAAAGUCAAAAAAACUCCAAAUCACCCAAAAUCAAUGCCUAUAGAAAUCCUAUCUAAUCUGCUAUCAAACCCCACUCUCCGAUCUGCCAAAGAAUUAUAGAGUCGUCGUCGAGACUCGGUUUUGUGCCUCAGGGUCUGAUUUCAAUCCUGGUUCAUAACCGGCCCUCUCCAGGUAUCAACAUCUAGUUUUCUUAAGUAAUUUUUACUAGAAUUUAUUCUUAACUUCCUCCUAAAGAUGUCUAUAUCAUUGAUUUUUCCAAUCUACCUUAUUUUGCCUUAUUUUUGGCCCUACAAAGUAAGUAGAAGCUAUUUUUUCUAAAAGGGCAGCAUUACUACUAAAAGUUUUACUACCUUCCUAUCUUUUAUCCAUAUUUCUCUACCUUUUCUUUUAACUUGGCUCUUCUAUAAUAAGAUCCAGAUUUUCAUCUUUCACCAUAUAGUCAUAUUACAACAUAACAACGUCACCAUGGAGAACUCAUGUAUUCUUUGCACCUAAAAAGAAUAGUGGACUUUGGUAUUGCAUUGAUUAUUAAGGCUUCAAUAAGUAGAUUUUCAAAAAUACAUAUCCACUUCUACGCAUAAAUAAUCUUCUUGACCAACUUCAAAAUGUAACGAUCUUUGACAAAUUGUACCUUUGGAGUAGCUAUUGGCAGAUACCUAUUACCAGAGAGUAUAUAAAAAAGACAGCCUUUCAUAUAUACUAUGGAUGUUUUGAAUGGCUUACUUUACUUUUUGGCUUCAUCAGUACUCCAACUUCUUUUAUAGGUCAUAUAAAUAAAUUAUUUUGAGAUAUUUUGGAGAAGUAUGUAGUUGUCUUCAUUAAUAAUAUGUUAGUCUAUAGUAAAACCUUUGAGAAGCAUGAGCAACGUUUGUAGAAAGUAUCAAAUCUAUUAUAAGAUAUUUAUUUUUAUUGCAAGUAAUCAAAGUAUGAACGUUAAAAGUUAGAAGUCAUUUUUUUGGAGCAUGUCAUAUCCUACGAAGAUGUAUGCAUGGAACAAGAUAAGAUAAAAGCAAUAAAAGAUUGACCAAUUUUCAAGGAUUCUUCUGAAGUCUGCUCAUUCUUAUGCUUUACUGGAUAUUAUUACUGUUUUGUUUGGCAAUUUGUACUCAUUGUUGCUUCAUUGAAAAACCUAUUGGAGAAUGGUGCUCCAUUUGAAUGGAAUCCAAAGCAAAAAAAAAGACUUUUAAUUAGUUGAAGGAGGCAUUCAUUGUUGCUCUAAUAUUACAAUUGUAUGAUUUCAACCUUCUUUGUAUACUUGACAUUGAUGCUUUUGACUUUGCUAUUGGCACAAUCCUUCAAUAAGACUUUAGUAGGGGCCUUCAAUCUAUGGCAUAUAAAUCACGCAAGCUUAGAAGGCAGAGUCUAAUUACUCUACAUGUAAUCGAGAGUAACUAAUAAUUAUAUAUACCAUAAAGGUAUGGCAAUACUAUCUAUUGAGGAAUCUAGUGACUGUUUGGACUAACCAUUGUUCCCUACUACAUGAUUUGCAUAUGAAAAAUAUGAAAUUAUAACAUCAUUGUUGGAAUAAAUAAUUGCAGUUCUUUGACAUUUAGCUUCAAUACAAAUAAGGGCAAUACUACACCAUGGUAAAUACCUUAUUGCAUAGAUCAGACUUGAAGCUCAAAUUAAAAAAUAAGGUAGAAGUCACUACUAUUACUAAUAUUAUUUCAAACUUAAUUAAAAGGAGUGAAAUAGAAGGAAGCUAUGCAUUGAGAUGCUUAUUUUGAAAUAAUUAUUCAUCAGCUAAAAGUAGAUGAUGUGUAAUAUUAAGAUUAUUGUCUUAGUGAUGGCUUAGUCUAUUUCAAGAAGUGGAUUUAUAUACGUCACAAUGCUGUAUUCUAAACAUGCAUACUUUAAGAAGGACAUGAUAUUUCAAUAUCUAGACAUUUAAGGCAUAAAAAGAUCCUAGAAUGGAUCUCAAAGAUAUAAUUUUGAAUAAGUUUGGAUCAUGAUAUUUGAGCUUUUCAGCACUUCUAUAAGUCAUGCCAACAUAACAAAGCAUACAAUGUAGCAUCUCUUAGACUAUUGCAGCCAAUUCUACUAUCUACGGUAUAUUGAAAGCAAGUGACUAUGGAUCUCAUUAUGUGUUUGCUGUAGAUGCUUGAUAAUCACAUCGCGGUUGUUGUCUUUGUAGACCAACUCUUGAAGCAACUUCAUUUGACUAUAAUGCGUUCUAUUAUUGAUGCCCAAUACUUAUACGGAUUUUUUUUGAUACUAUCUUUCGUCACCAUGAGUUAUCUCAUGUUAUUAUUUUAAAUCAAGAUCUACGCUUCAUGAGAAAUUUUUGACAAACUUUCUUCAAGCUACUAAGCAAACGACUUGCUAUGUCCAUGGCCUUUUAUCUUCAAACAAAUAGACAAACCAAGCAUGCAAAUUGGACCUUAGAAGAUAUACUACACACAUUUGUGGUGGUUCAUUAUAAUAACUAGAAAGAAUAUUUGACAUUCUUAAAAUUUUCUUAUAAUGAUAAUAUUUAAGCAAGUACUAUUCAUUCACCAUUUGUCAUGGAUAUAUGCAUGUAAGCCAAUAAUUACAUAUAUAAAUAGGUAGAAGUAAGUAAAAGUAAGUAAAAGUGAAUUAAUUCUAUAGUAUUUGAUAUAGAAGCUUUCUAGAAGCUUCAUAGAUGCUUCUUUGACUUUAUAGGUGUCUUUAAUUGAUUUUUUGGGAUUAGAAACGUGGUCAACAAGUUGGCCAUGUGCCACACAUGUUGUUAGCUUGAAGGCCAAGCUAACUAUGUGGCCCAUAUGUAAAAAAACUUGCCUUAUAAGUCAAGGCAUGUGUCCUAUAAAGUCAACACAUAUUAAAGGUCCUAUAAAACGUUGCUAUCAUACUAUAAAUGCUUACAAUAUGUAAAAAUUAGUUAAAACAUAUUAUAUGUUGAUAAAUCUAGAUGUAUAUUAGAGUGGCUAGUAGAUUAAAUUAAAAGGAGUUGGUAUAAGAAACUUUACUUUGUUUCUUUACUUCUUUUGAUUUUGACAUUAAAAAAAUUAUAUAUAUAAGACUUAAAUGUUUAGUAUGAAGCCUUGGGAGAAGGUGGAAACCUAAGGAUGAAAAUCUAAACUAGUAGGAGGCUAAUUGAGAGGGAUGAAAGUAAGGCAUAGUCGGAUGAAGGCAAGGAAUGGAGAACUUCAUCCCUAUUGGUCGAAUACCAUGUCCAAUGGACUUUGAGGAGGGUGCCUGCGACCUUAAGAAGGGUUUCGGCGACUUCAAAGAGAGAAUUCGGAGAUUACAAGUUAGGGUUGUAAAGUUUAGGAUUUGGGAUACAAUUUCUGUGCAAAAAUUAAAGGAUUUAGAAUUAGGAUGAAAAAAUUAUAGUCGUUUGAAGUUAAGGUGUUUAUUUAAGAUAUACUGUUACUCUUUUGAGAGUACGAGGAGUUUUACAGUAGCUUUUGAAGAUCGGAAUGUGCGACUGGAACGGCGAUUUCAAGGCCUACAUCUUUCACGAAAAAAUUAUUACUUUUGGAGUUCAUAUAAAGGAGUUGUAAGGAGUUGAAGGCAGCGCUUCCAAAUCAAAGGCAGUAAGUAAGCGGUUUUGUUUGUAGUAAUGGUUGGAGCCAUAACUUGAGUAUUCGGAUGAAUUUUUGGCUCAAACUUUUGGAAAAUGUAAAUUUUUGUGUUAAAAAGCUAUACAUACAAAUUUCGUGGCAUUUGAGCUUAUAUUUUUUGAGAUAUGAAGAAAAUUGCACGCGGAUGUAUAAAGACAAGGGUUUGAAGUGACUGUUAGGGUUUUCAAGAUAUCUCAAGAUCUGCAAUGAAUUUGUUGUUGAAAUUUGUUGUAAAAGUUAAUAAAAAUACAUCAGUACUUCAUGUAAAAUUUGAGUUUGUUUGGACGGUCGGAUUAGGAGAUAUGAGGUGUUGAAAUUAAAAAAAAAUCUCCACAUAAGAAUAAACAAGGUUUUAGAAGAUUUUAUCAUAUUUUGGAAGUUGUGGGUUACUUGAGGAUUGUGUAUUUGGUGUAAUUACUCAAAAAGAAAAAAUUAUAUAUAAACUUAGGACUUUCUUUAUUUUCAAGCUUGAUCGAAUAAUUAGUGACAUCCAAAAGCCCAGCGUUUUUUUGAGGCAAACUCUCUCUACUCCGACAUCACGACAUAACACCUAGUUAGAUAGUAUAUAUAGAGACAAGAGUGAAGCCUUCUUCACUCUUAUCAACUCCUUUCUUGCUUCCAGUCUAAUUUCAAGGAUCUCUAAUUUUCUUGGCUUUUGGCAAUAGCCAUUCCAGUUUCUUUCUUAAUAUAUAUAUCAAGUUAUUUCUAUUUUAUCAUCUUUCUUUGAGAGAAGUCUCACUUGUUUAUUUUUCUUUAUCAUAUUCUUGUCCUUGACACCAUUUUUCUUUAACACCACUCAAUAUCCGAUUAUGCUAGCAACUCUCUAUCAUCCUAUUGAUAUUAAUAAUUUGACAAUGAAAGAGUUCAUACAAUAACUUAUAAUGGCCUUGCAAGAAGCAUUGCCUUUUUAUCACAUAGAAUCAAUACAAGUAAUAUGUGGAUAACUAUUGACAACAUAAGACCUAGCAGGGUGAUCAAGUAAUAUUCUCUAAUACUAACUUUCUACUUGCUACAUCAAUUGAAAUUUUUAAGUUGGCACCUUGAUAGCUUAGACCUUUCCAUAUUUUUGUAGUGAUUUCUAGUGCUGUAUACUACCUUAAUCUUUCGCCACAUAUUUGGGUUUAUUUGAUCUUCUAUGUUUUGUAACUUAAAGAGUUUUAUAUUGAGCCAAGGCGCUUUUAGAAUCAAUACCAAGUACCACCACUACCACUACUAUCACCACUUAUUAUAAUUGAUGACCAAUUUUGGUCUAUGUUGUCGUACAUUGUAAUAAGAUUUAUAUUGCUAUGGAUUGAAAGGAAUUUAGAUCUUAGAGAUAAUCUAGUUCCAUUUUAUCUAAUCUAGUUCUAAGAGUUUCUAAUUUUUUAGUCUUUAGCAAAAGCCAUUCCAAUUUCUUUAUAUAUAUAUAUAUAUAUAUAUAUAUAUAUAUCAUCUUUCUUUGUAAAAUUAUUUACUUAUUUAUUUAUAUUCUUUGAAUUUUUAUCCUUCAUAAAUAGUUGUGUUAGUUUUAUCCAAUUUUUCUAUAUUCUCUCUAAUUUUUUUUUUCAAUUCUAUACCAAUUUAAAUAAAAAAGGCUCAUGUUGGAUUUUUGAAGACGGAAGAGAGGCCAUAGUACAAGUGAGACUUUUUCUUGUACAUGUGCUUUGUGGCUUUAUUACAUUUUAUUUUUUUCAUAAAAGAUUCUAAAUUUAAGACUUCAAAAGUUGUUGCUAAUGUGAUAAGAGUUUUUUAUGAAUUAUUGUAAUUUUUAAUAACAUACUUUUUAAACUUGAAUUAUAUAAAAUUUCUUCAUUUAAUGAAGUUGGCAUUAACUAUGAAUGUUGUUAAAAAUUAUUAAAAUAAAGAGAUUUUAUUUGCUCAUAUUAAUCACUUUUAUUUGUAGAAAUAUUAAACAUCAAUUAUAAUCUAUAAGAAAUCAAUGGAAUCUAAGAUAUAAUGGUCAUCUACUAUGCAACUAAUGGUUUUAAAACUUUUAAGAAUCUUGUGCAUGGCAAAAUAGAAGAUUUUUUUUGAAGAUAAUAUGGCACUAAAAAGAUUGACUUGUAAGAAUAAAAUUUUAGUGAAUUUGUAUGAAAUUCUAUACCAAAUGAUAUAAUCUUGACUAUAUAUAUAUAUAUAUAUAUAAUUGUAUUUUUUACAUGCUUCUAAGUUUUUAUUUUAUGUCACUAUCCAUAUCUUCACAACUAAGUGAUUUCUUUCUAUACAAGACAUAAUCAAAUCUCUAAAAUAUAUCACCUUUAUCAUCCAUGCACAAACAAAACAAGUCCAAUGCAAGGUCCAAGUUUCUCACAAGUAGUUAAUAACUUCUUUUCUAAUGAUUUGAGCUCCCUAUAGCUCUAUCUGUAAGAUUUAAUAUAUUUCUUUUAUAUCAUUGCAAACAAUAUCCAUCCAAUGUAAUAUGAAGGCUUUAAAAUCUGCAUUGGUCUUAAAUUACUUCUUACUUUUUGCCUAAAUAUUCUUUUGGGUGUACCAAGCACAAAGCAAGUUAAUCACAAUGUUAUCAAAAACUUCAUUUAUAAUUCAAAAUCUUAAUUACUAAGCUUCUUGUAUUUUUGAAUAGAUACCUUGUCUUAUAAUAUUGAUGUAUUUAUGACAAUGAUAUUAUUGUGUAUACAUGAAGCUAUAUAAAAAGAAGUAUCUAUAUAAUAAAAGAAAGAUUUAACUAAGAAUUUUAAAAAAUAAACAAACAUCUAUAUUUUAAGAUUUCUAUUACUUAAUUGAACUAAUUGAGGCUAUAAGAAUUAAAUAUAAAAAAGAUAUUUUAAAUAUCAAAAUAUAUUAAUAUUCUUAUUUCAUAUUAAUAAAAUUGAUAAGUAUAUUUAAAAUCAUUUAAUAUUUUUUAUAAAUAAUUUUUUAUUCAUGGUUCUAUUAAUAUUUGAUCAUAUAAAAUCUAAUAAUUUAUUUUAGCAUAAAAAAACCAACAUUCUACAUUGUAGAAACAAUAUUGUCAAGAAAGUCAAUACAUAAGCUUAAUAUGUAGUUGUGUCUUUAAAUAAGUAUCUUCUAAAAUUAAUAUUUAUUAGAAAUGCUAUAGAAGUAUUUUCAGAUCAAGUUUCUUUUAAGAAAAUAAAGUAAAUAUCUUCUAAAAAGGUUUCUUCUAAAAGCAUUAUUUUAGAAGAAAGUAAAAGAAUCUAAUUUAGAAACUAUGUAAAAGUCUUAUUUUAUACUUUAAGUACUUAUUUAAUUACAAGAAUAGUAUUAUUUACAGCAACAAGCUAAUUUUUAUGUAUAUAUAAUUUUUAUCUAAUAAAAAUAGUAUUGUAGAUCAUUUAAAAUAUUACUAAUAUAAUAUUUUUUAAAUAAAAUAUUUAUUAUUAUUAUAUUAAAUAUUAUUAAAUAUAAAUAAGUAAUAAUUAUAGAUUUAAGGUUAUGUAUUUAGAUUAAUUGAGUAACAAUUUAAUAGUAUGUGAAAAUUCUACUUUAUUUUAUGACUUUUUUGCUAUACCUAAUAAAUAAAAUUUAAAAAUUAAAGACUAAAAUUAACAUAAAAUAGGUUUUAAAAAAAACUUUAGAUUUCAUUCACACAAUAUAACUUAUUUGUGGACUUUUUCAAUUUGAAUGACUUUAUAGUCAUUUUUUAAAAUAAGACUUAACCAUUAGAUUUUUAUGGACUUAGCAUCUACAUUAUAAUAUACUUUAUACUUAAUUUUAAGGAUUUAAAGUGUAUAUAUAUAAAAGACAAAGAUAUAAUUUUAAUUGAUAUCUAUAAGAUAAGCUAUUUAUAAGCAAAUAAUUUUUAUAUUAAAUAUAUUGGAAUAUUAAAAAAAUAAUUAAAAUAGAUAGAGAAAAAAUACAUAGAAUAUAUAUAUAUAUAAUUUUAAUUAUAAAAAAUAAUAAUUUAUUAUAUGAUUAAUUUCAUAAUUCAAUUAUUCAUAAUAUUAUUGUAAAGUGAUUACAUAAGUGAUUGUUGUAGAAAACUUGUUUAGACUUUUAAAGAAAAGAAAUACUAAAUUAAAAAGUGAAUCCCUUUUUUCUUUAGAAAAUAUCAUUUAGAUUUGAUACAAACUUAUAAAGUGGUAGAAUCCUUAUUUGAUUUUAAUUUAAAUAAAAAAUAUAUAAUUAAUAAUUAAUUGUGAAAUAAUUGUUUCAUAAAAUUAUAAUAUCUUUGUAUAUCAUGUAUUGAAAUAAGAUCUCUUUUUGGAGUAUUUAGCAAUAGUAUAGAUUGAUAUUUUAUUAGCCAUGAAAUAAUUUGAUUGUUGUGAUGAAAGAAGAGCUAAAAUAACAAGUCACAAUAAAAUAUAUUAAUUGACUGAUUAAAAUAAUAAAUAAUACUAAUAAAAGUAAAAAUUAGUUAUAAUUAGAAAAAACAUAACUAUAUCUUUAAUAGGCUAAUUAAUGACCAAAGAUUUUAGAUACAAAAUAUGGAAAAAGAAAAUAAAGAAGAAGAAGAAGAAGAAGAAGAAGAUAUUACAUUAUAAAAGAAAGGUCUUAAUACCAAGUAGAGGUAAAGAAAGAUCGUAUAUUCUUGAUAAAAAAAUCAUUGUGGUGUUAUGAUUGUAAUAGUUUGACCUUCUACUUUCAUCUUCAUUAAAUUCAUAGAGAAAAAUUGUUAUCAAGUAUUAUCUUGCUUUGACAUUUCUAAAACUUAGAGAUUGAAAGAAUAGCAAUUAGAGAUGACAAAGUUUGCUGACAUUUAAAAGAAUAGGAAAAGAAUUACAAUUUUAGUAUAUAUUUGGGUACUAGUGGCACAAAUCUAAUUUCUUUGAUUGCAUGUUUUCACUUUACUAGUUGAUCUUACAAUUAAAUCACAGCAUUCUUUAUUCUUGUUAACUUAUUUGUAGAAUUUUUUUCAAAAAAUUAUAAAAUUGUUAAGAACAUUGGUAUUACAUCAAAUUAACAAUGGAUAAUUUUUAACCCAAAAUAUGUUAUGAUACUUAUAUAUAUAUAUAUAUAUAUAUAUAUAUUAUGUCAAAUAUUGUUGUUGAAUUUUUUAAUUAAAAUUUUGACAUGUUAACAAAAAUAGAUAUCUUUUGACAAAAAGAGAAAAAAGGAAAAGAAAAGAUUAUAUCAGUAUAUAAGAAAACUUACAAACUAUAAAAUAAUUAAAACCCAUAAAAAUAAAAAUGAAAUUACAGAUAACCUCAAUCUCACCUCUGUAAAUGCCGCUUGCAAUAAGCUGUAAUCAAAACCUCUAAAGCAUAUUUAUUAUAAAAAAAAACACCUGAAAUCCAUCUUCUAUGUGUUAGGAUAUACCUUUUAGUAAAUUUGUAACAAAAUCUACUAAUACAGUGCAUGCAUUCCCAAGCUGAUGUAUUAGAAAAUGUGGAGAUGCUGCUUAGUGUAAGUUGUAGGAGUGCAGGAGGAUGCUCAAAAAUGAGUGACCUAAGGGUGAGAAUUGUUAAGGUUGAGGUGUAUCUCACAAGGCUCCACAUCAAGGACCAUGCCAUUGCCUUCUAUGUCAUCAUCAUUGACCUGGAGGAAUAGUCUGAAUAAUGGCAGCAUGUUUUCCUCCUCUGCCUCUUCAUGAUAUGCAUUUUCAUGCAUUGCCACAUACUUAUCUGCCUCUUCACAAUAUCUAUGUGCAUACACAAUCUCAUUCUCAUCUCCAAUGCCAUCUGCCUCUGCAUGACACCCAUAUGCCUCUGAGUAACACCAGUCUGCCUUGGCAUCAUACUCACAUGCCAUUGCAUAAUCCCCAUUUGCAGCUUCAUAACACUCAUCUACCACAUAAUCUAAACUUACAUUGGAUUCCAGUGACAACUUUCCUGCUACCCCUGGCACAAGAGGUGCUGGCAGUGGAACUGCAGCCAUGGUCAGUUGCAGACUGGGCUAAGAUGAAUUGAACUCUCACAGUCAGCUUUGUGACAUACACUAAUUAAUGCACCACCCACAUCUUGACUGGCCUGCCAUUCAUCACAAAACAUUAGGUUUUAAACAGUUCCUUUGUGGUGUAUUGAAAGGGGAAUACCUACUUGAACAUGGACCUAAACAUGUAGGAGAUGCUGAGAAGAAACUACUGCUAUGACGGACGCUGGCGUGACAUUAUCUGAUUAACCGAAUCCAAUCUCAAGCUGUAUUCCCCGCUUGCUUGACUAAUUCAUCGCGCUUUCUGAGACUCUCAAGGACCGGUCGUUACCUUUUCGAUUGAAACCCCGAGAAACAGCUUGUUCACGCUGACUGCUCUAGACGGUGGCGCGCGAAGUUCGGCAACCACAAACCCCGUCCUAUGAUCGACUUAAGAUACGAUUUAUCCACACAUGCAGUAGUAAAAUUCUCCAAUGUACAAGUCAGUGCUUUGGCAUUGGACAACGGAGUCAGAUCUGCGUCCACCAAGCCAGUUAUAAUAGAGCCUGUGAAGCAUUUCAUUGAGGCGAAUGUUUCGCUGAUGCUCUGAUUCCCUUCAACCCACUUGAAUAGCCCAGUUUUGCUCCCUGUGUCAUCCCGAGUUCGAACAAUCAGUUGCGCAACACAUACAUAGUGUAAAAAACAAAAAACGAUAGUACAUAGCUCAAUACCUUCGACCUCCUCGAUCUCCUUGAGCACCUCUCAUAAAGUCUUUUCGGUUUGCUAGUUAGGCUCCUCAAAACUCCCCAGUUCGACCAUGGAGCCAGCUCCCUCUAACACAGAUUUUCCAAGCUUUUUCGAAGGCUGGACAAGAAUGUCCAGCAGCUUGAGAUGAGUAGCGGCCUCGGAAAGUGGUGGAAUAACAACAAUGCCGUAGUUAUCAAACAUGAACUUUGCGAACGAUGAUUUAAUGGGCGCCAUCUGUGGUCGCUCCCAGCUAUACGCUGCAUCAAGCAGGAGGAGCGUUGGAGAAGGUGGGCGAAGCUGGCCUUGUUCCACUUCCACCUAAAGCCAAAAGCUUGCGAUGCCUAGUGGACGUGCAACGCAUUAGAUCGUCAUGGGCUAUUGGUGCAAGUAUUUUAACCAGACAAUGUAUACACAUACAUCAAUAAAUACACGGUGAUGAUAAUGAGAGCUUUAGCACUGUAUUACACAUGACAUUACAGGGUGUAGACUGAAAGAGAAACCUAUCAGAGCAAGUAAUGUACUGCUCGAAAGGUACUCCGGAUGAAUGAAACUCUAGGAUAAACUACAUUGUACUUCGUUGACAAUGUAACAUCAACAUAGGCCCUGCGGAAUGGGAUAUUGGAAUUUGAGAAUAAGGUACAUUUAUUGGGCCGGUACAUGAGAGGAUCCAGGAAUGGCUUGAACAUUAGUCAAAUUAGCAGCGACGAGUGAAGUGUCUGAGAGUUUCUGUUCCACGUGCCCAUUAGUAUCGCUGUCAUUUUCUGGAGAACAGUGGUGGUUGUCGGGGGCUGUGAAAACGAGUUAAGAGGCCCUGAUGAUCAAAAGAAGCAGACAGCAUUCUGAAACGAUAUACGGUAUGGAAGAGCGAAGUGAUAACUGAGUGCCUUUUUAUUUUUUUUAAAUUGUAGUUGUAAAGAGAUAAACACCGCGUGAUUUGUGGAAGCAAGUGCGCCUGAGAACAGCCUCAUGAUGUGGCAGAAUUCGCGGUGCAGACACAGUCGAAGUGGAUGUAUCCUUCGAGGACCUUCCCAUCCUAGAUUUUACGCUAAUUACAGCCAAGUUAUUGAUCCACUGAAUAAAUUAGCAGUUGCAAUGUGACAGCCUGGUGGAAGGAGAAAGCUGGUAUCUCAGGUGGUGCUGCAGGAGGAAGAACACACAACGAAUGAACUAAAGAACGAACGAAUAGAAGAAGGUAGGAAGGAAUGAAGAAAGAACGAAUAAACUAAGGAAAUGAGGGGAAGAAGCUUUAGAUGAGAGGAUUGCAUUUGUUUCAUUUCCAUACAUUCUUAAAAUCAUUUGCCAGUAUAGAUGUACGUAUCUAUGCCCCAUUACAUUAAAUAAUAAUUAGACACUACGUUACUUUAGAUUUGGUUUUUUAGAUUCUACAUAGAAGAAAUAGAAAAAAGAUAAAGGAAAGCUUAUGAAUUGAUAACCCUACCUCUUUUUGCUGUGCACAUGUUACUUCAAGAUUAUUUUCUUUGGGUCCACGAUGUAAAAGUACGUUGCACCUAAAACUAUGAUUAAGAAUUUUGAAAUAAUAAGCGUCAUUUCCGAGCCAUAAUAAUAGAAUUUCAUAAACACAUCGGCAACACGAGCCCAUGUGAGCAAGUACACGUGCAUCUCACUCAAAAACCUAAUGUGACACGUUAAUUAAUUCUUACGCAUGGCAUCAACCGCCCUCAAAAUUGCAAAAAUUCUGAAACCAAAGUGCGGUAGAUUACUCUGAACAUAUUGGAAGUCAUCGACGUGGAGGAGGAAAUGCAAAAGAAAAACUCAAAAGAAUAUGUGAAUGCGAUGUGAAUGUGAGUUGAAAUCCGUGGUGCCUGCGUCCACGGCUUCGGUGGCGAAAGCAGCGAUGGGCUAGGGCCUAAGAUAUUAUGCCAUGGCUGGCGUCGUGCCACCGCGCUGCGAGGCAAGUUCCGGGCGACAUAAAUGGGGUGGAUGGAGUACUGGCCAAGUGUCUGCAAAUUUCCACAAAGCCGCUGUCGUUCGUGAAUCUGUUUUGAUGCGGAAUAUUUUGGAGGUUCUUGGCGAUGCGUCGACUAGUUUCCGCAGGAUACUAGAGGGUGGAAUUGGGUUUGUGGUUACGCAGUGCACAUUUCGGUAGCAGACUUGGAUGGAAGGAAGAACCAGAACACGAGCUGAUUAUUAGUCGAGCGUAGAGCGCAGGGUUGGUCGUCGGAGUGCAUUGAUCGAUUCGUCGUUGUAGCGGGGUCUCCACCUUUGGGUUUGGUUUUUCUGUGACCUAAAUGUAAGUAGAAUAUGCCUUGGGGCUUAAAUUGAGUUAGACGAGAUUGGCAGGGGUCGCACAUCGCAAGUCAAUGGCAGGCCGAGGUGGGAAGCAAGCUCUCCAACAUUUGCAUCGUCUGCGAGUGUCAUCGAGCGUUGGAGAUGGCGCCGUUAGGGCGUCGCAUGCGCGUUACUCUGUUUCCACAGCUACUGGGGUGCCCCUUGCUGAGACAACGGAGGCAGAGACCGUAGAAUCGACGUCUGCGGGACGGAAAAAGCUUCUUGUUCUCGGAGGGAGUGGCUAUGUUGGCACUCAUGUGUGCAAGGAAGCCCUGUCGAAAGGCAUCUCCGUGGCAAGCUUGAGUAGGUCGGGAAGGCCUGGGGUUGCAGAGCCUUGGUCCCAGGAUGUGGAAUGGAUUAAAGGGGAUCUGUUCCAUCCUUCGAAUUGGCGAAAUGAGUUGAGCGAUGUGUCAGCUGUCAUAUCCUGUGUUGGCGGAUUCGGGUCCAAUCAACAAAUGCAGAAGAUUAAUGGCGUAGCUAAUGUUCAAGCCAUUCGAGCGGCAGCAGAUGCGGGUGUGGAGAGAUUUGUUUUCGUUUCAGCGCAUGAUUUUGGUCUGCCGUCUUUUGUAAUGCGAGGUUACUAUGCAGGAAAGCGAACUGCUGAAGACGAACUUCUUCAGAAAUUUCCCUACAGUGGUGUUAUCUUGCGUCCCGGAUUCAUUCAUGGCAUCCGUCAAGUGGGAACAUACAAACUGCCACUGAAUAUUAUUGGAUCCCCACUUGAAUUGGUUUUUAAAAACCUGAAAGCAGCCUCUCAGGUCCCUGUGGUCGGUAAGCUUCUCGUGCCUCCCGUGAAGGUGGUCACUGUCGCCAAAGUUGCUGUCAAAUCUGCCAUGGAUAAUUCUGUUCCUCCCGGAGUGAUGGAUGUUUGGGGCAUUAUGCGGCUGGGCGGGGAUUUAUAGCCGUGAAUCAGAUGAUUGGCCCCUCUUUGGGCUUCAUGCUUUCCAAGUUUUGCAGCUUUUCCAUCUUGAAAGGGAUUAUUGCAGCAUAGAAGUUUCACAAUAAUGUUUGCGAGGGAGAGGUGGGGCUGCCUCAGAGCCAUAGAAAUACUCUUGAUUGAGGGUUUAGGGUUUAAGCUUUAGGUACUGACAAUGCACUGCAUACGAUCACCACGGUUGAGCGUUGCCUCAAAUUGUGACUCCGCAGCAGACGAUCAACAGUGAGGUAUUAUGGCUUAACCUGGCCCAGUGGUUUUUCCUGGCAUAUGAUUGUGUGUUUUUCAAUGAAUGUGGAACGUUAUUGCUCCUUCGGAAAUAAAAUCUUCCAUAUCUUGCGAUUGGAAUCUGUUUCAGUGGUGUGUUCGUAAUCUUUCGAGCUGUAAUCCGCGAUAAAUCUACCGUCUCGCUCCGUUCUCUAGCGUUGUAAAGCUGUUCAUUGGUCUUAUUUUAGAGAUCGACCAACAUACUUUCUUCUCAAACGUUUGAAUCUCCUCCACGGCAGCCAGCUACUCCUUCCGGUUCAAGAUUGUUCCAUUCAUUAAUUUGAAAGCAUACUCUAAAUGAAACGAUUACACUGAACUUUAUAUUCCAUGUGAGCUUCCUUGUGAACAUGACAAUAGGACAAGUCGGCUUUUACCUUCUCACAAAGUGUGACGAAACGACAGUCUGGACUCUUCUGAACACCCUGAAAGUAACCAAGUAAUUUGCAGACAGUCUCAGGAGAAAGCAAAUUAAGAGUUUGAACUUCAGGAAAGGAACAGUGUUAGAAGGAAACGAGGUCACAUGCUGUAAUACCAUAGUAAAAAAAUGAAGACCACCAAUGGAGGGGACACGACACAUUCGCCGAACUGAGAAUAUCCACAAGGGAAUUUCUCGGAUUGGAUUAUGCCCAUCCAUCUGGCAGUAUGGUGCUCAAAACAGUAUAUUACAUUCACAAAUCAACAUGCAAUUGCUAAAAUUUAGAAUCAAAUUAAGGUCUUGAUGAGAAGCAUGUUCCCCUGCCAUUAAGCAAGCAAAUUAUAGUCUUAGUGUUUGCCAACUUUUGAGAGAUUUUGAUUUUCACAUAUAAAAAAAGAUUUUACCUUUGCAUAUGCUCAUUGGACAAAAAGCAUGGAUAGAAUCUUGUGUCCAAUUGUCUAUUUAGAUAAUAAUUUAUAGAAUAAUCUUUACUUGUAAAGAUUAGUUUGGAAGUAGUCUUGUUAAAAUCAUGAGCAAAGUAAGAGGUCAUCAAAUAUGCACUUUUAGAAAAAUAUUUAUAAGAAUAUUCAUUUAUGAAAGUAAAUUCUUGACCAAUUUAAUUUAGUCAAAUUAUUGUAAGUAUUAAUCACCAAAUAGAUCUUAGACUAAGUGUAAUUAGACAAGGCAUUUGACAAGUCUUGUUAUUUUCCAAGAUAAUAUGUAAAAAAUGGCUUUGAAAAAUCUAGAAAAUAUAAAAUAGGAGUUAAAGUAAAGUCUAUUUUCAAACCUUUCAAAGUUUCUUUUGCAUCUUUAUUCCAUUCUAAUUUUUCUUUUUAAUAAUAGAUUGAGUCAAUUUCAAAAAUAAUCUUAAUAAUAUCAAAUAAUAGUUUAUAAAUUCUAAAAAAUAUUAGACAUCAUGCACAAUUCUUAUAAUUUUUUAAUCUAUAAUAAUAUACACCUUUUUAAAAUCCAUUUACAAACUAUCAUUUGAAUAAUAUAUUCCAAAAUUCUACUUGAGUUUUGUAAAAGACAUAUUUUUCCAUCUUCACAUAUAAUCUUACAUCUCUAAGUUUUUGUAGUAUUAGACAAACAUAUUAUUCAUGUUUUUCUAUAUAUUAAGAAUUGAUAAGAAUAACAUCUAAAUAAUGCACAACAAAAUUAUCUAGAUAUUUACAAAAUAUAUUGUUCAUUAAAUACUAGAAAGCAAUUAGAGCAUUUGUAAGUCCUAAAGAUAUAACAUUAUAUUCAAAAUGGCUAUACCUAGUCCAAAACAUAGUCUUCUAUUUAUGUCUUUUUUUUAAUGCAUAUAAAAAUAUAGGCUCCUUAUAAAUCUAAUUUAAUACAUAUCUUAGCUUUAUUUAGUUGAUCAAAGAGUCUCAAUAUAAAAAACAAAGAGUAAUAAUUUUUGAUGGUCAGUUAAUUAAAUCCACAAUAAUCUAUAUAUAUUUUUAAGGAUCCAUUUUCUUUCUUUACAAAGAGGAUUAGCCUAUUUGUAGGAGAUUCUAAGUAUUAAAUAAAAUUAUUUCUAAGAUUUUUAUCAAUGCAUUCUUUCAAAGCAAUAAGUUUAUUAUAUAGCAAGUUGUAAAUUAGUCCAAAUAAUGGUUAAGCUCCUUCUUAAAAUUCAAUUGCACAAUUAUAAUAUUGGUUUUUUAACAAUAAAUCAUCAUUCUUCUUCUCAAAGAUAUUUUAGUAUAUUUUAUAAUAUUUUAAGAUUCUAUUGUAAUAUUUAUUUGAAUAAAGACUUGAUAUUGCAACUUAUAUAAAUGCCUUGGCUCUUAUAAAUGAAGGUCAAAAUGGUUUUAUUUUAUUUUAUUUUAUUUUAUUGAAAUUAGAUCUUAAAGUAAUAUUUUGUAAUUUCCAAUCAAUAUUGGAAUUAUAUACUUAAAACCAAGGAAGAUGAGAUACCAUUGGAUUUGAAGAAUAUUGAAUGAUGUAAAAGAAAAUAUCACAUACUUAAUCUUUUAAUGCCACUUUUAUUAGUUUAAUUUCUUCUAUGACAUCUUUGGAUGUAAGCAAUUGUCCAUCAAUAACUUCUAUUAGAGCUGAUUGGAUCUUCUUUGAAAGUAUAAAUUCUUCUUGUAUUGUAAAGUCUAUAUCCAUAAAAUAUAUUAAAGCUCUAUUGUUUAGAAGCACUCAAGUAGAAAAUUUAUGAUUUACAAAAACAUUUGUCUUUUUUAUUAAGUCAAACACUUAAAUAGAAUUAUAUCAAUUUAGAUAGGUUUUGGUCUUGAUGAAUAAGUUUCCAAAAACUUGAGAAUUGUUGUGAAGACUUGAUUUAUUCUUCUUUAAUCAAAACUUUGUUCUUGGCCUAUAUUAAAGAAUUAAUUAUUACAUGCAAUGAUUUAAACAAUAAAUUAUUCUAAUAAACUUGUUUAUUUUAUUUUUAAUAGUUAAUCUUUAAUAUUAUCUUUUAAUUCAUAUUAAAAUUCAUAAUAAGGACUUUAUUAUUUAAAUCCACAUUGUAAAGAAGGUUUUGAAAUAUGACAAUAUAGAUGGUAGUUGAUUAUGAUCCUUGUUGUAAAAACUAGGGUUUUAAUUUUACUACCCUUUUUCAAUUACUUUUUCUAAAUGUGGUUGUAAAUACUUUUACAAAUAAAUUUAGAACAUAUAGAAAUUUUAAAUUCUUUUCCAUGAAAUAUGCAAACCAAAAGAAAAUACUAUGUGAUAAAUUACCAAAGUGAACACUAUCAAAAGUGAACUUAUAAAUUUAACUUGAAUAAAUCUAUCAUGAUAUUAAAAAAGAAGUCACCUUAAAUAAAAUUAUAUUUAUUAAUUUUUAUUUAUUUAUUUAUUUAUUUUUAUAAUUUUAUUCCAUUAAACAAUAUAAUAAACUUUGCUUCCUUCAUAAUUUUAAUAGCAAGACUUUUUAGAUUCACUUGUGAGGUUGGUGUACUUACUUCACUCAAUUGUACAACUUCUUAGUAUAGACAUUUUAUCUCAUUGUUGGCUUCUCCUAUAGACGUAGGAAUAAUAUUUUCAUAGUUAACAUUGUCAAUACAUGAAAUAUUUUUAUUAAGAGUAUUGACAAGCUCCUAAAGAUUUAUAAUAGCUAAAAAUAAAAUAUCACUUCCAUCAAGUAUAGCAUUCAUAAUAUUUUUUUCUUCUAUUUUUAUAACAAAUAAUUUUAACAAAUCUAUAAAUAAAAUUAGAAGAAAGUGAUUUUUAACCUUUGAUAUCAAAUAAUUUUUUUUUUAAAGAUGGUAAGUUUAUUCACUUAAAAAAAAAUCAAUAUCAUAAAAAAAUAUUAAUUUAAAGGAAAUAAUUUAAAAUCUUUAAAAUACAACAAUACAAAGUAGGAUGAUUUAUUCACUUCAAAUACAAAUUUUUUUUAAUAUAUUAGUACUCUUACAAACAAUCAAGGAAAUUUAUCAAAAAAAAAAAAAAAAAAAAAAAAACUCUCAUACCAUUAAAAGAUAAAAAAUAGAUAAUUAAAAAAUAAAUAAAGAAUUAAAAUUAUAAUGAUUAUUUUUUAUUGCAAAAAGAUUAAGAAGCCUUAAAUCAAAAUAGAGAACAAGAAAUGUGUUGAUAACAAUGAAAAAGAUCUCACUCUUACCUCUAUAUAUACUAUCUACUAAAUAACUAUGUAGCAAUGUUAUAUAGGCCAUAUGACAUGUGUUUAACUUGUAUGGCACAUGUCUAAUUUAUAGGACAAUUUUUUAACAUGUGAGCUACAUGUCCAAUUUUUUGGCCAAGUUGUCAAUCUAUCAAUUACUUAGAAAUUGUGUAAAGUCUAUAAAACUUUUUAACAAAAAAUCAAAAAUUUAACCUAUUUAUACUUAUUUCUAACUUAUUCUAUUUAUCUAAAUAAACAUAUUAUUAAACAUAUCUAUUAUAAUACUAUUAUUAAACUUGGAUGCUAAAAGAUUUACGUACAAAUCUCUUGUAUGAUCUAUUUUUAUUAAAAUUAUACAAAAAUAAAGUCUAAUUAUUUUAAUCUAAUAUUUUAAAUUAUAGUAUGUCUUAUAUUUAAAUUUAUUAGUAAUAAGCUUUAAUAUUCCUUAAAUAUUAUGAAUUGAGAUAGUUAUUUUGUAUUAUAAAGUAUUUAUUUAAAUUUUUAGAAUCUAAAUUAAGAUAUAUUAAAAUUAAAUUCUAAAAUAAAUCUUAAAAGACCAAAAAUCAUAUGUUAAUAAUAAAAAUAAUAAAAAAUUCAUAUAUUAAUAAUAAUAAAAAAAAUUCAUAAAUUUUUUUCAUAAAAUAUUCAUUACCCUUCUCUUAACCACCAUCCUUUCUUAAAGCAAUGAAAUAGAAAAUUGUACAAAAAAAAGAGGCAUAUUGUUAGCUAGUUGUAUACUACAAAAUCACAUGGAGUAUAAUAAUAUCAAUAAAAGAUGUAGCAUUAUCAAUUCUUUAUAUAUAAUAUCUUCUUAAGAAUACUUUUUUCUCAAAUUCAAAGAUAAUUAUAUGAUUACAAUGAGUUUGGCUUUAACACAAUUGAGAUUUAUUACACAUUUUAAAUUUUAAAUUUGAAAUAAAAAAUGUGUAAUCAAUCUCAAAGUGAAAGGAACUCUUUGUCUUUCUAUAUCCUUCUAUCUUCUUUGCUCUUACCUUAAGUUGUCUUGUAGAGCAAUUGAUUCUUAUUUCCAAACACAAGCUUCUUUAUUGGAUCUGCACUAAAACAUGAUUAUUCUAGUAAAAUCAUGUGGCUUAGUAUAUUAUUAACUCUUUGCCAAUACAACAAAUAAUGAACAAAAUGUAACAAAAAUAAAAUAAAAAUAAAAUCAAAACUUGGAAGAAAAGAAAACAAACAAAACAAACAAAACAAAACGAAACAAUACAAAACAGGGACUAACAAUUGCAUAAGCAUGUUUUUUCAUAUUCCAAGCUUUAAUGACAAAGUAAAAAGAUGCAUCAUUCUGGCAUUUUUCAUCCCUUGAAAUCACAAUAGCACACACAUACAUACAUUAUAUUGGAUAUAUAUAUAUAUAUGAAAAUGAUAAAGCGACCCAAAUUUUUACUAAAACAACCCACAUGUUUAAACCAUCAUUCUACCCUUUCAACCAUGUCUUUGUUCCCAGCUGCUUCUUUGUUCCCAACCAUUGCCCAUAUUCCUAAUGUUCUUAACCUCUUGCCUCCAUUCCCGAUGUUCAUAGUCUCUUGCCUCUAUUUCCAACUUCUAUUUUUAGCAAUGGUUGGAAACAAGGAAUGGCUGAGAAUAGGGAUGGGAGCUACAAGGAUACAAUAAUGGUUAAUUUAGAGUGAAUUUGCGUUAGUAAAAAUUUGGGUUGCUUUACCAUUUCCCAGUAUAUAUAUAUAUACAUAUAUUAAUUUGUAUGUAUAAUGGGCUUGUUUUGAGAUAGAUAUAGAACAAAACAUAACAACUAUGAGAUAUUAUGAUUUAUCAUGAAAAAAUAAAAAAUCAAGAUGAAUUUUUUGGUAAAUGCAGAAGUAGGUCACUGAAGCUAUCGUACCUGGCUCCCUCAUUCUGUGUCAGAGAAAAGGGCUGAAUCAUCCACGUCACCUCAUACUGGGUAAGAAUGACGUGGACACGGUGAAGGAUCCGACGUUGCAUAGGGGUGGCUCAAGAGUGGCCUCUCCAAGCGGACACUGCUUUCGGCGUUUCUUUAGGAUGGAAGAUGUAGCGACGAAGCCGAGGCGACACCACAAUCAUCAACGCCACGCCUCCGAAGCCCAUGAGCAAUCCUACGCAUAUCCCCGGCACUGAAAGUGUCCCCCCUAUACUCCACACCGACCUCGAUUCGCACUGCUUCUCAAGCGGCAACCCGCACAAUCCUUCGUUCCCAGGCCUGAAACUCUCUUUCGUUGUGCGGGUACCAAAACCAUUUUCCUGCGGGAUUUCUCCUGAUAGAUCGUUGCCUCCGAGGUAAAACUGCAAGGUGGCAGGCAUCCUCGCUAGCAUGACGGGAACCGGACCUGUCAAACGAUUCGAGGACAAAUCCAGGGACUGCAGUUUCUUAAGGCUUCCCUCUUUAUCCGGAAUUGUUCCACUCAGGGCAUUGUUAGAGAGGUUGAGUACCCACAGGUAGUCCAUUUGUAGAAUGUCAUCAGGUAUACGCCCUGUGAGGUUGUUAGCUCCCAAGUUCAGUAUCGCAGUCCACACGAGCCCGUUACCAUUGAAAGUAUAAACCUUGCGCUGGUAAAUGAAUGAAAGAUCUACUUUGAAGGGACUCAGACUCAGUGAAACUCUGUAAUUCACCUCCGUCUUGGCAUUGGUGUCGAUUGGCUGCAAGGUUACGUUGUCAAUGAAGGCUCUCAUAUUGGUCAAGUUUCUCGAAAUCUCUCCGGAUAGUUUGUUGUUGGACAGAUCCAGCAUAGUUAUAUUCCUACUCUUCCAUAUCCAACCCGGAAUCGCACCUUCGAUCUCGUUCGACUCCAAGGUGAGCACUCUCAUCUUCUCAAGGACCGUCGGCCUCGCUGGCACGGGAAUUGAUCCCGUCAGUUUGUUCCGGCUGAGGUCGAGAAUGGUGAGGUUUUCGCAGUUGAAGAGCGCUUCAGGAAAUGUUCCGAUGAGGGCAUUGUUUGCCGCUGUCAAAACUUCGAGAAACGGAAGUUUUGUGAAGUUAAGACUCCCAAUUUGUCCAGAAAGGCGGUUCUUUGACAACAGAAUGCGAGUCAAGUUUGUGCAACUACUAAGCGUCGCCGGGAUCCCAUCCUCGAGUUGGUUGUCGUUUAGGUGCAGGUCUUUUAGCAUGGAGCACCGGCCAAGGCUUGCGGGUAUGGCUCCAGUGAGACUGUUGUUGGCUAACCACAACCUCUGUAAUGCUCGCAAGUUCCCCAACUCGGCUGGGAUGGCUCCGCUGAGCCGAUUGCUCUGUAGAAGCAAUGUGGUGAGAUUGACGCAUUGAGAGAGCGAAGCAGGGAUGUUGCCAGUAAGGUUGUUGUCAUUGAGAGCAAGCACCAGCAUUGAAUGGAUGUUGCACAAAGUAGGGAUUUUACCGCUGACGCUUGUACUGGUAACGACCAGACUGUCAAGAGUCAUGUUGCCGAAUUCAACGGGUAUGGACCCGUUGAUGCGCUCAUUGCUUUCGAUUAUAACUGAGCCUAAUCUUGUGCAGUUUGCAAGUGAGGCAGGGAUGGGCCCUUCUAAGGAAUUGUUGCUUAAGUAAAGCAGCCGAAAAUUUUGCAAACCACCUAGAUUGGUGGGUAUAACCCCAGUCAUGAAAUUGUCUUGGAAUUGCAGGCUUUCCAACUGGGGACAUUUGCUGAACGCCGGUGAGAUAGUCCCUGUCAGAUUAUUUGCCCCAAACACCACAUUUUUGAGAGCAGUGCAGUUAGUGGCAGUGAGCGCAGCAGGUAUCUCUCCAGAGAACUGGUUGUGGUCCACUUCGUAAUUCUCGAUAAAAUUCCACUGUUGCCCUGGGAAUGGCGGAAGACUUCCCCUGAACUCAUUGUAAGCGAGAUAGAUCAAACGUAUCUUGCUGCAAUUGCCAAGCAUCCCGAUUUCCCCCGAGAACCUGUUAAAGCGAAGCAUAAUUAUGCUAAGCUCUUCCAAACGCCCGAACGACUCCGGUAAGGUGCCGUUCAUAUCAUUGGCCUCAAAAUCGAGGUUGUAUAAUCGACUGCAGUUUCCAAGCGACCUUGGCAACGGCCCUUUAAGGUCGUUCGUUCUUCCCACGAGCUCUCGCAAAUUGGGGCAAUUGCCAAGGCUCUCCGGAAGAGAGCCAUUGAUCUUCUUGUUCUCUGCAAAAUUCAGUACUUCAAGGUGCUGAAGUUUCCCCAGCUCCGCAGGAAGUUCUCCGCUGAGCUGAUUCCAAGCUACGUUCAGAGUUUUCAGAUUCGUGCAGUUCCCCAGAGCUGGAGGAAUGGAGCCUGUCAAGGAGUUGUUUUUAAGCACUAGAUGCUCGAGGGCCGACAGCUUUCCAAAUACAGACGGAAGAUUACCUUGCAGGAGUGUGUCUUGAAGUGUGAGGUUUUGCAGAAAGGUAAGAUUUGCCAAAGCCGAGCUCAAAGUCCCAUUCAACACAAUUCCGGUGAUGUUCAGAGCAAGGACUCGUCUGGGAAUGUCAGCAUUGCAUGUCACCCCCGCCCACUGGCAGUAGUCGGCGUUCAUACUGCUAUUGCCCCAGCUGUUCAGCGUAUCAUUUUUGAACUCCCCAAGAGCCUCAAGUUUGAAUUGCAGCAAUACUCUUUCGUCUGCUGUACUCUCCGACGUUUCCUGCAGCAAUGAUCGGCCAUGCUUUCCUCCCUCGGUUCUUGCACUUAGAGUUGGCAGGAAAAAGAACAUGUAUGUCACAAGCAGGCGCCAACACACCAUGUGCAGUCCCAUUGGUUCCUGGAACAUUUGAGAAGCGAAUCGUCGAGUGAAGCAAUUCUACUUGGCCUAUCAAAAUUGUGCCAAGUUUCUAACCCCAACCAGCACAACCCAAGGAGCCACAACUGACACAACCCAAACAAACUAACCAGGGCUGCGAUGAUUGUCGGUUACAUACAUGCAAAGUAGAUUGAGGGUCACGAAACUAGAGCUCCAAAUUUUCUAGGUUAAUGAACUAAUCGGCGUAUCUUUUCUUCAUUCAACAGAACAAUAUAUUUAGUUUCGAAGGCCACAGCUGCUAGCCCUGGAUUUGGUUUCUAUUCUCGAGCGCACAACUCUACAGCAACACCCUCACACCCCUCACAGAACUUACACUCGACAUAACUGGAUAAUAAGGCGAAGUGCGGAGCUUUAGCACAAUAACACUGCGUGAUAGCAACAGAAAGAAAGAUCCAGUUUCAGAAUUGCAUUCACUACACCAAUAACUCAUCACCUCGCGAUGGCAUUUUUGGAAGAAUUGAACACGAGGACUUCUUUGGUUACAGGAUGUAAGGCUUGUUCAUGAUUAAUUGAGGUGCAAUUAAGAGCCCUUGUUGACGCAGCAUGCCUUUUGUCUGUCUUGUCAGAUAGUCUCAGCCCACAUAUGCCCGACCGGAGAACUGUUCUACCCCAAUAAUUUCCCAUCCACCGUCAGAUUUAAUUUCUUCUGGAUUGUAUUUCAACGAUUCCCUUCCCUUAUUGCAGAUUGGUGGAUUCCCCUGCCGGUCAGCGACAAACUUGCCAGUACCAUCAAAGUCAAAUCGAGGAACGCGUACCCCUGGAUGCUCAAGCCAAACUGUAUUGGUCCGAUUCAGCUGAAAUCAGAGGAAAUCAUGCAGAAAUCCUUUUUUAGAGCCUUCCAACUCUCCCGAUUUGGCAUGGUGUAUUGAGAAACUUCUCAGCCUCCACCUACACGACAACGCAUACUUUUACACCGUUUCUUUCAAAUGAAAGCAUGAUUUUCAGUGAAACAGAAUGUUGAAGUGUUUCGAACGGUGUUAGUGGUCAUGUGAAACAAACUCGUAUUGUGCUCACAGUUUUUUACUGAAGCGUAUGAAACUAUUAUCGCUAUUGCUGGUAGAACGGACGUGUCUACGAUGUACCGCUUGCAAUACUGCACCUCGAUAAGAUAAGGAUAGUGAUGCAGAAGUGCCACAAGUUGACUGAAAGUAAUGUUUCUUUUUUCUGAAGUCGACGCACAAUUAUCCAGCUGUAUUUUGAACAACGACUGCUUCAGGGCAUAGAUUUCUGAUGAUACCCACUUCUAAAUCCAAAAACAUUGUCCAUUCAUCCCUCCCAUUCUUGUGCCCCGACAAAAUGAGGAUAUUGUUGAUUCAGUAGGCGUGAGAUGAAAACAAAUGCUAUUGAUAGAAAGUUUAUGCCUUUGGUGGUAAUUUUGCACGAGUGUCCGAAGCCCACAAUAGCUGUAGUGGCAGAAUAUGUUGUCAGAUUUUUUGUCGAACAGCUGAAAAAGCAGACCAGCUUUUUUAAACACCUUAGCAGCUCACCGAUUUGCAGAGCAGAUCUAAUGAAGACCAGGACACAUGAAAAAUGUGACCUAGAAUACAUUCAUUCUUACAUUGUUGCCAACAUCAGCUCCUGGAUGAGGCUUAUCAUGUAAUUUAGGACUAUGCAUGUGUCAUAUAUACUCACACACAUCUUAUUUAUUUGAAAAAUCAAAUUGGUUCGUACAAUUCUAAUUUUUAUUAAGAACUGGGUGUUUUAUAUUAUUAAACCUUUUUUUUACUAGAAUGUGUUAUAAUACUUACAUGGAAGAAAGUCUAUUACAUUAUCUUUCUUGAUUCUUGAUUUUUACAGAGUUAGUUAUAACAUUGCAGAAUUUCAAAAAUGAUAUUAUAAAAAAAUAUUUGUAAACUUAUCUAAACACACUUUAGCCAUUUGUAAAUGUUUUUCAAAGAUAUUAGAUUAAAAAAAUGUCUAAAAGACUGCACUUAUCUAUCUAAAUCUUCAACAUCCAUCAGUUUAGGUUUUGUACCUAAAGUACUUUGUGAUGUUUGAUAAUUAUUUUACAAAAAUAAUAAAUAUUGAUUUUAAAAUCUAAUAUAGUAAAAAUAAACUAUUUUGAAAUGAUGAUGUAUAAAAAAUUAACAAAAUAAUUAAAAAGAAAUUGACGAGGUUAUUUCUUCUCACAAAUAUAUUCUUCGAUUUGUGGUUAAUAUAUUUCUUUGAAAAAUGUUCAAUAUUAUGUUAAGACUUUCAAAAAUAUAAACACAAAUAUUCUUACUAAACCUAAGUUUGAUAAAGUUUAAGAUAUUUUCAACAAUAUUAUAUAAAAGAUGUAUACAAUGUAUUAUUGUUUACAAUUUUUAUAAUAUAUAUUGGAAGAUUUGAGUAAAUCAAAAUUAAAAAGGAAAGUUUUAUCAUGGAUGUAUUAUACAACCAUUUGUUAAAGCAAUUUGUAAUCCCUCCUUUUUGGCACAACCUUAAAGUACUAAAAGAAUGUGCUUUGAUAAAUGAAUAUUCUUAGAAUAUGGCCAUUGGUGGCACCAAUGCUUGUGCAAUUGGGUAGCCACACUAUCUUCUUCUUCCAUCCAAAAAUUCCCUACCAAGGCCCAUUUGAGGUUGGAGGUGGAGACGCCACACCUAAUGAAGGUAUUUAGCCACCAACUUGUUAUGAAAAUGUCUUGGUGACACCAGUCCCAUUCUUACAUAGAGAUGAGUUAGUAGUUUGUGUGGAUCCACCAUAUAGGACUAAGCUUGGCAGUAAUUGACUAUCUAGUAAGAUUCUCAUCAAUUGUUAGACUUGAGGCUAUGUAGUUGCCUCUUAUAUGAUCUUUAGGAACUUAUUCUCAGUCCCACUAUUUUUUUAUUUUUGGCAUUAUAUCUUUGUUUGUGGCAUUAUAUUUUUAUUUGUGGUAUCAUUAUUUUUUAUUUUUGGCAUUAUAUUGAGCAACACAAAUACAUAAUGCCUUAAAUAAUAAAAUAAUAAUAUAUUAUAACAAGUUGAUUUGAGUAUGAUAAGUAAGAGGUUUUUAGCAGAGAAGAUGUGUUCAGAGAAGAUAGUCUAUAGGUAUUGCUUGCUCAAUCAAUCAUUACCAUCUGAUGGAAUUUGUUGUUUUUCUACAUAAAUGAGUUAAUGUUUCAAGCAUCAACUUUGGAAAGCUAUUAGAGUAGGAUAUAGAUGUUUUGUUCCUCUCUUCUCUUAGUAGUAGAUGUAGCCUCUAAUAUGAACUUCAACAUUCAUUUUUGCAAUUGUGUCCUAAUAGGAUCUUUCAUCAAAUUAUUAUCUAAAGCAUUCGAAGCAUGUAUCAAGGUGUCAUGGACACAUAUAUUUAUUCUAAUAUUUACUUAUAUAAUUAAGUAAAAAUAGAUAAAAAUAGAUUUAUUUCAUAAUAUUUUUUAGCAAAGCUUCUUAAAAGCUUCAUAGAUAUUGCUUUGACUUCAUAUAUAUAUAUUUUUAGUUGAUUGAUAUGUUAGAAACUUGAUCAACAAGUUAAUCAUAUGUUAAUAGUUUGGAGAACAAGCUAACUAUGUGGCAGACAUAUAGAAAACUUGCCUUAUAAAUUAAGAUACUUCUCUUGCAAAGUCAAUACGUUUUCGAGGUCCUAUAGGAUAUUGCCACAUAGCUACUUAUUAAGAGUAUAUGCGGAGGCAAGAAUGAGAUCUUUUUUAUUCUUGUCAAUGCCUUUUUAGUUCUUACUCUUAUUUCAAGACUUUCUAGACUUCUUGUCUUUAGCAAUAGCCAUUCUAAUAUAAUAUUAUAUCAUCUUUGAGUGAUUUUUUAGUUUUUUCGAGUAACACAAGAGUGUACUAACAUUUUAGUUAUUUGAGAUUCAAGUCUUUCACAAUUUGAUAAGAGUCCUAACUCAUUGUUCUUAUCUUGUUUUAGACGUAAGAGAAUUAUCUUCCAUUGUUGUAUUUUGAAGGUUGCAGAUUAUCCAUCUUUGAAUAAAUAAUUUGAUUUUCUAAUAUUAUUUUUUUUCUUAAAAAAAGCACAUUACUUUUCUUUGUAGAAAUUUUUAUUUGACAUUAGAAGUUGUAAAUUAUCCUCUUUUAAUUUGACUUGUAGAUUUAUUAAGUUGUUUAAAAUAAAAAAAAUUAUGGAUGCUAUUGAAAGAAGUAAGAAUAGAUUUACAACUAUUGCAGAUCUUUACUUACUUCUCAAUAUUUUUAGGAUGGAAAUUUCAUGCAUCUUACGCCUAUGGAAGAAGUUCAAAGUCUGUAUUAAGAAGUAGUCUAAUCGAAAGAAGCGAGUAGAUUGAUUUCUAAACAAUUUCAAGAACUUUUUCUUCUAUAAGUAUAAUGGGGAUAAGGAUUAAUAUGCUUGAGAAUUUUGAUGGAACAAGAUCAAAAUUUUGAAGAUUUUUGUAGAAGUCAAGCUUCAUCUAAGAUUGCAUUCUUUCCAAUACCCUAAUAAAUUUAUUCAAGUUGGAUUUAUAAGUGCAUCAAGAUUAUAAGCUAAAAUAAACAUCCACUAAUUGGAAUUUUAUUCUAACUGACAAUAAGUGAAUUAACUAUGUGAAUUUAAAAAUAAAGCUAUUAUUUAAAUUCUAAUCCAAUUAUUAGUUGUUCUUCUUAAAACACCAAGUUAUUAAUCAAAUUUCCUAACAUUAUUCACAUUCAAAAUGAUAAUUCACUCUUUAAACUUCAUGCAAAACAAUUCUUUCUUUUAUUUCUAAUAGAUACUUUAGUUUUAAUUUUUAAUUUUUAUUUUAUCUUUAUUAUUUUUAUUUAUUUCUUUACUUUUAGAUUAAUUUUAUUAUUUUUUUUAUUAUUAUUUUUUUAAAAUAUAUAUUAUUAAUUCUUAAAUAACUGAUGGUAAAAUUAAUUAGUUAAGUUAUUAUCCUUAAUCCAUAGUAAAGUUUUAAUCUUUAGUAAAAAUUAAAAGUAAAAAUAAAAGUAAAAUUAAAAAACUAAGGUAAAAGUUAAAAGUUAAAUUAAAGAUUAAGUUAAAGUUAAAGUAAUUUAAAAUUUAAAAGUUGACAUAUAGAAGUUACGAGUUACUAACAAAAAUAAAAGUAAAAAUGAGACUUAAGAGGGAAAAAAACGAAGGUACCUUAAUAAUGCCCAAGAAUUGAGGCAUCAAUCUCCUUUUCCUUCAAAAAUUGCCAAAAAUCGUGAUGAACUCCAAAUUGAAUGAUUUUUUCUUUUUUCCAAAUUUAACUUAAAGAUGCUCUUGUUACAACAAUUUUCAAUUCAAUUUAGUAUGUGAGCCACGAGAAAUGCUCCUCCAAUGUUGAGUGACUAAGAUUUCCAUGGCAGACAACCUCCCUCUACUUGGAAAUUCAUUUAAAAAUUAAUUCGUCCUUAAAUUUGAAAAAAACUAUGCCACUAGAAGCUCAGCUUAGAGAUGCACUUACUCUAUAAAAUUUCAUAGUAACUCAAUUUAGAGGCACUGAGAAAUACCUUAUCAAAGUUGGAUGAUCUAAACUACCAAGCAACCAACCCCCCUCGCAUUUACAAAUUCACCAAAAUUUUGUCCUUACUUUGAAUCAAGCAAACAAUACUUUUUUAAAAAGCUAACUUCAAAAGCUACAACUAUAAAAAAUUUCACAUUGAGAUUAUAUAAUCUGAAUGACUGAUUGAGGAAAAUCCGAGGCUCUUAAAACCCUUGGUAUAUUUGGGAGGCCGAGGGAGCUAUCUACCACAAUGAAGUAUGGUUUAAAACCUAAUGACCAUCAUUCACUAUUCAAAAUCUAUGCACACACAGUCACAAGGUUCACAAUGAAAGUUAAAAAUCAAAAUGAAAUUAAGAUUAAGGUUAACCAAAUUAACCAAAUUAAAAAUUGGCAUAGCUUUGUAUUUAACCAAAAGAAGAGAGAGAGAGGGCUUGGAAAACCAAGCCACUCCUAUACAACUAAGUGGUGGCUUUUGGAAGAGUAGCCACAUCUCCACCCUUGAUUUCUAAGAUUCCUAAUGUAGAUCUACAGCCUUCAUUCAUCCGAGAGCUAAUUUCAUGAUCAAGGCUAAUGGCUCUUGUAAGUAGAAAAAAAACACUUUUUGGUAAAUCCAACUUCACCAUUGUGUUUAAAACAUCUUUUUAUUCUAAGAUUGACUAUUCACAUGCCUCAAUCUAUGUUCAUUUGCAACUUUUAUGAGGAUUUUUUUACUUAUAAGGAUUUUGAUAAUUUUUGUAAAAUUCUUCAAAAAAUGAGAAUUUCAUUGCUCUACUUGUACUUUGAAGGAAAGGGUGCCAAACUUGUUUUUAUCACUCCACAUGGUACAUCCGAUGCCUCCAUUGCAUUUGAAAGGCUUUCAUGAAUUAGAAGAACCAUUUUGCCGCUUGGAUUUGUUGAAUUUGAAAAAAAAUCUUCAAAACCACCAUAAUUAAACCUCACUAGAUUUUCUUUUUCCUUUUUGAAACCAAGACUACUUCAUUUUUAAUUCCUUUAUUAUUAGCUAACUAAAAAAAUAUAGUCUUUAUAGUAUUUUUCUUACUAAAUUCUAUUCUAGAUUACAUCUCUGCUACUAGCAAUCUAUUUUCUAUUUUUUCCUAAAAUUCUAAUAUUAAUUCAUAAUUUUUUUGUUUUAAGCACAAUAAAAGUAUUUUUUAUACUAAAUAUCAAAGUGAGUCAAUUCAAUGGCUCACACACUUCUAUCUGGAAAUGCUCCCUAUUGAUUUAUACCUUUGAUGGAAAAAGAUUCACGACUCUUUCAUGAUUUGAAUUGAUUCUUAGAAGUAUGCUACAGCCGCAUUUGAAGAAAGUGAUCGAGAAAGGAUAGCAAAGACCAAGUUCUUAUCUUUACAACAAAGAUUGCAAUGAGUUAGCAUACAUGCUACUAAAUUUCAAAACCUUGCUUGCAAAGUGGACUAAAAUAACAAAGUCCUUAUCAAUCAAUUUUGAUAUGGAUUGAAGAAUAACAUCAAAGAUUUAUUAUUGAUAAUUCCAAAAAGAAAAUAUUUAAUAUAAUUUAUUACUUAAGCCAUUGCAUAUAAUAAUUGAUUAUUUAGAAGACAUCAAGAAUAAAUAUUUGGCUAAAGAAGAAUAAAUCAAGUAAUGAUAACCACUCCUAAGUUUUAAAAAACUUAUUCAUCAAAGCCAAAAUCAAUGCAAAUUAAUAUGGUAUGUUUUAAAUUUCUUAUUGAACAAGAAAAGACUCAUCAUUGUUAAAAAGAUUUGUGCCUAUAUUAUAGAGAAUCCAAGCACACUACUCUGCAUUAUCUAAAAAAACAAUGCUAUUAUAAAAUAAAGAGCAUGGUUUUGAAAGAGGACAAUGUGUCAAAAAAUGAGUUUGUCCAGCUAUAAUAGGGAUCUUAUCGUUGAAAUCUUACAAAACUUCUUGCAAAAGUCCUAUUUUCUCUUUAGAUCUUUCAUCUUUUUUUACAAUAGAAGUUUUUUUAGGACCAAUAAAUUAAAAAGUUUUAGCCUUGUUGGAUUCAAGAGUCUCAACCUAUUUUAUUAACGAAGACUUUGUCAAGAAAUAAGAUAUAUCUUUAGUUAAGAAAAUCAAACUUGUAUAUAUUGAAAUAAUAGAUGGUUAUUUAUUAUCUUUUAAAGAUGUUAUAUGUAAAACUAUUCCUGUAGAAGUAGCAACUAGUGGUUGUAAUAGUUUAAUAAUAUUUAAUAUAAUUAAAUCUCUUUCUAUAUCAAUUAUUUUAAAAUUAUUGUAAUUAAAAAGGUAUAAUCUUUAAAUAGACUAGAUUUCUUAUAAUUCCAUAUUUUAGUCUAAGAUUCUAUUAAGCAAGUGAAAAUCCAUAAGAUUGAUAUAUCCAAAUCAUUAUUGGUAGAUACAAAAACUUUUAUGUAUGCUACAAAAGAAAGAUCAACUUUUGUUAUAUACAAAAUACUUAUUGUUGAUGGAAAAAAGAUUUUAAAUAAUAUUCCAAGCCAAUAUUAAGAUUAUUAAGACGUCUUUGAAAAAAAAAAUAUAGAUAUUCUUUCAAAACAUUGUCUUUAUGAUUGUUCCAUCGAUCUUUAAGCAAAAGCUUAUCAACCAUUUAGAUCUAUUUAUAGCCUAUUAAAAAAAUAAGUUGGCUACAUUCAAUGAAUAUAUUAAUAAAAAAUUUUCUUAGAAUUUCAUAUGCCAUUUUAAAUCUCCAAUUAAGACUCCUAUCUUAUUUGUAAAGAAAAAAGACAGAUUUCUACAGAUGUGUAUAGACUAUUAAGGAUUCAAUAAGAUCACCAUGAAAAAUAAGUAUCUUAUACAUUUGAUUUCAAGAGUUCUUGAUUAAUUGAAUCAAGAAAAGAUCUAUACAAAAAUAGAUCUAUGAAGAAUAUAUAAUUUAGUAUGCAAUAAAAAAAUAAAAAUGAUAAAAUGCAUUCCAAAUUAGGUACAAGUAUUUUGAACAUAAUAUUAUGCCUUUUAGACUUACAAAUGUGCCAAUUUCUUUUUAAUAUCUAAUGAAUGAUGUAUUUCAUGAGUUUUUUGAAAAUUUUGUUGUCUAUUGUUUGAAUGACAUCUUAAUCAACUUUGAGUAUAUAAAAGAAUAUGAAAUUCAAAUUUGUCGUAUAUUAUAAAAACUAAAAGAUGUAAGAUUAUAUGCUAAGAUAGAAAAGUAUAUAUUUCAUACUACUCAAGUUGACUUUCAAGGAUACAUUAUUUCAAACAAUGGCCUUAUGAUGGAUUCUAAGAAAGACCAAACUAUCAUAGAUUGAAAGAUUUCAAAAACAAUUAACGAUGUGUAAUGUCUUUUGAGAUUUGUCAAUUAUUAUUAGAUCUUUAUCAAGGACUUCUAUUAAGUUGCAAUUCUUCUUACACACUAGACAUAUAAAGACAAACUUGAGUAAAACAAAGAAGCUAAAAUAUCUUUUGAAGCCUUAAAGACAUCAUUUAUUUCUCUACCAAACUUGAAUUGUGUUGUUGUGAUGCAAUACAAUUAUAUGAUAAAAAUAUAAUAAAAAAUAAAUUUCUAAUUAAUAUCUAAUUAUUUUGGUUCAAUAAUGAUUUAAAAUAUUUAAAUAUGGCUUUUAUAAAAGUAUCUUAGUUUAUUUUCUUAUCUUAAUAGUUAGUAGGUUAAAGAUUGAUUAAUAAUUUUACCUUCUAAGCUAUAGAGACUCUUUUAUUGCCUUAAAAAGACCAUAAAUUAAUAAAUCAAAUUAAAAGAGAUAAAUAAUUAACAUGGUUGAUACUAAGAUUAAAUUGAAGAUAAUUUUGGACUAAAAAAUCUGUAGGAUAGGUUAAAUUGUUACUUGAGGGUUGAUUUUUUGUGAGACAAGGUCAAAAUCAAACCUUCAGUCAUUAAAAUGAUGACCUACGGCAAAACAGAGGAGCAUUUGAAGAUCAAAGAUUAUAGUUUGAUAGCUAGCUUAAAGAUUAUUCUAAAAAAAUAAGGCUUAUUUUUGUAAGAGUUUUUUGGACUUAGUAAUUGUUGUUCAAAGUUAGGAUUUGUAUUGGUAAUUUGGAAUUUAUGCAAUAUAAUUAGGGCUAGCAUUUCCAACUAAUUUAUAAAAUUGGUGUUAUAUCUAUGGUUCAAAAUUUGACAAUGUUUGAUUUACUAGGUGUGCUAAGUAUAUAGAAUUUUGUGAUAAUCCAACAAUGUAAUUAGGAGAUAUUUGGAUUUUGAUACAAGAAGGUAUCAAAAGUUGGAAGUUUGGAGUUGGAUAGGAUUUCUAUGAUAUCUAAACAUGUGUUAGUUGGAUCAAGAUGAAAUUUAUUCUUAAAUUCAAACUUUGAAACAUCAUGAGACUUAGAAGAAAGAUUCUUGAUAUCAUAAACAAGAAAAUCAGAGGACAUACUUGAUUAAAUUUAUUUGACUAAGGUUGAAUCAAUAGUCAAUGUUGAUUUUAUUGCUCAAAGAUGAAAAUGCUUUGGCUUUAAGAAGAUUAUUCUUUGUUCAUCAAAAGAUACGUCUCUUUCUUUUGGUGAAAGAUAAGAAUGUCUAGAAAGAAUAUCUGAUAAACUUUGUUAUUUUUUAGAUCAAUAUGUGAUCUUAAAAUCAAAUCUUGAUAAUAACAUGCUCCAACGGGCUUGGCAAUACUUCAAAAUACAUGUUGACAUGAAAUACUUGAGAUUCUUGUGAUCUGUAUAUAUUGUGACUGGACCUAAAGUAUCUUUUAGAUAAUGACACUAUUCUUAAAAUGAUUCUAUAAUUGCAAAAAGUUUUUUAUCAUGAAUCUCGUAGUUAACCUUGGAUAUUGAAAAUUUCAUGGAAUAAAAAGCUACUAGAUGGAAUUUAUCAUCUAUUCCUAUUUAUGAUAAUAUUGCAUCUAUGACAAAGUUUGAUGCAUCUAUUUUUAUAAAUAAUGCCUUAGAAAAGUCGAUACAAUACAAAGUUGGUGUAGAAAUAAAUUACUUCUUUAAAGCAAAAAAUAAUACUUUGGCUUCUUUAUUCCACUCAAAUUUAUCUUUACAAGUCAAACGUAUAAGUAGAGUUGUAAUUUCAAAAAAGUUUUUGAUAAAGAUUUGGUAAUAGUUGGCAAAAUCUAAAAAUCAUUGCAUAUCUCUUACUGUUCUUGAGAUCUUUCAAUCUAUGAUAUUUUGGACUUUCUUUGGAUCCAUUAUAAGGCCUUCAUUAGAAAUGAUGCACAUCAAAAAGUCAACUUGAGUAGUGUAGAAUAUAUACUUUUCCAUCUUUGCAUAUAAUCCUCUAUCUUGUAGUUUUUGUAACACAUAGUAAACAUCAACUUCAUCUUCUUCUAUGUUCUUAGAAUAGAUUAAAAUGUCAUCUAAAUAACAUACAACAAAAUCAUUCAUUAGAUGUUGAAAAGCAAAUAGUACAUUUGUGAGACCAAAAGGCAUGACAUUAUAUUCAAAAUGUCCAUACUUAAUUCACAAAGCAGUUUUCUAUUCAUCUCCUUUUUUGAUACAAACUAGCUUAUAUAUUCUUUGUAGAUCUAUUUUUGUAUAGAUCUUUACUUGAGUUAGUUGAUCAAGAAGUCUUGAAAUUAAAUAUAAAUUAUCCUAUUCUUGAUGGUGAUCUUGUUAAGUCUUUGAUAAUCCACACACAUCCAUAGAGAUCCAACUUUUUUCAUCACAAAUAAGAUAAGAAUGCAUGCUGGAAAUUUAGAAUGGCAUAUAAAGUUCUUAGUCAAGUUUUCAUUAAUAUACUCUUUGAAUGCAACCAAUUUAUUUUGUCAUAGGCUAUAGAUUGGUCCAAAUGGUAGUUGAGUUCUUUCUUGAAGAUCAAUGGAACAAUUAUAAGGACAAUGCUCUAAAAGAAUAUUUAUAUUUUUUUUUUGAGAAACGUCUUGGAAAUCUUGAUACUGGCUAGGAAUGCCACUUGAUAUCUUUUUACCACUAGCAAUGGACAUGGCAUAUAUAGCAAAAGAUUGUCCUUCACUUACGACAUGCAUGAAAGCUCUCACACCUAAUAAUAAUGAUUUGGAUGUAUUAUACUUAUGGAUUUUUAUUUACCCAGUAGUACUUUGGACUAAAUUAUUAAAAAAAUCAAGAUUGCAAGAAAUCCAAUCUAUUUGAGGAUUAUAUCUUUUUAAUCACAAUAAUCUUAAAAUGAUUGGAUUAGUUCAUAUUAAAUAUUACUUAACUAUUAUGACCACUAGUUGCUACUUCUAUAGGAAUAUUUUCAUGUGUAAUAUCACCAAAAGAUAAUGAACGUCUAUCUAUUAUUUCUACAUGAAUAAGUUUGAUUUUCUUAAUUAAAGAUAUAUCCUGUUUUUUGAUAAAAUCUUCAUCUAUAAAACAAAUUGAGGCUCCUGAAUCUAAUAAGGCUAAGACUUUGUGAUUUUUUGGUCUUGAACAUACUUCUAUUAUAAAACAAGGUGAGGGAUCUAAGAAGAGAAUAUGAUCUUUAUUAGGUGUUGUAUAUGAUUUCAGUUGCAUGGUUCCUAUUGUAGUUGGUGCAACUUAUUUUUUAACACAUUGUCUUCUGUGGCAAUUAUGCUUCUUAUUUUGUAAUUACAUUGCUUCUUUGGAUAAUAUUGAGCAGUAUGCCUUACUUCUCUACAAUAUAAAUAUAAGCCCUUUUCAUAUUGUCAAUUCUUUUUCUGCUCUAUGACACGUUUAAAACAUAUGGUAUCAAUUUCCAUUGGAUCUGGCCUUGAUAAAUAAGUUUUUGGAAACUUAGAAGUUGUCAUCAUUAUUUGAUUUGUUCUUCUUUAGCCAAAUCUUUAUUCUUGACAUCUUUCAAAUAAUCAAUUGUUACAUGCAAUGGCUUGAACAAUAAAUUAUUUUAAAGAUUUUGCCUUUGACAUUGUGAGUAAUAAAUCUUUCAUAUUAUCUUUCAAUCCAUAUCAAAAUUGAUUGAUAAGGGCUUUGUCAUUCCAAUCUACAUCGCAAGCUAAAUUUUGGAAUUUAGUAGCAUAUAUGGUGGCUGACUAUGAUCUUUAUUGUGAAGAUAAGUAUGUAGUCUUUGCUACUCUUUUUCAAUCACUUUUUUAAAAUUUGGCCGUAAACACUUCUAAGAACAAAUUUAAAUCAUAAAGAAGUUGUAAAUUUUUUCCCAUUAAAGGUGCAAACUAAGAAAGAGCACUUCCUAAUAGAAGUGUGCUUAUCAAUCCGACUUGAAUAAAUCCAUCUAGAUAUUGGAAAAGAUGCAACCUUAGAUGGAGCUUGAUUUGUUACAAAAAUCCUUGAAAUUUUGAUCUUAUUCCAUCAAACUUCUCAAGUAGACUAAUCCUUCUUUCUAUCAUAUUUAUAGAAGCAAAACUCCUUGGAUUUGGUUGUGAGGUCAAUCUACUUGCUUCUUUCAACUGCAUAACUUUUUGUUGUAGAUUGUGAAUUUUUUCUAUAGGUGUAGAUAUACUACUUCCAUAAUUCACGUUAGAAAUAUGUGAAAUUUUUCACUCUUAGAGUGUUGACAAGCUCAUGAAGAUCUACAAUAAUUAUAAAUCUAUUCUCACUUCCAUUGAGAGUAGCAUCCGUAAUCUUUCUUUCCAUAGCCAACUCAAAUAAAUUCAAAAAAUUAAAUUAGAAGAAGAUAAUCCACAACCUCUAAUAAAAAUUUCCACAAAGAGGGAUAAUCCACUCUUUUUAAGGAAAAAAUCAAUGUUGGAAAAUCACAAAUUUUCUUUAAAGGUGAAUAGUCUAUAACCUUCAAAGUAUAAUAGUAGAAGUAGGAUAAUCCACUUACUUCUAAAAUAAGAUAAAAUAGAAUGUUAGUAUUCUUGUCAAAUUAUUAAAGACAUGAAUCUCAAAGAAAGAAAAUCCUCAACACAUUCUUGUAUCGUUGAAAAGAACUAGAAAGUCACUUAAAGAUGAUAUAGUAUUAUAUUAAAAUGGCUAUUGCCAAAAAAAAAAAGAGACUAGAAAGUCUUGAAAUAAGACUAAAGACUAGAAAGGCAUUGACAAGAAUAACGAAAGCUUCACUCUUGUCUCUAUAUAUACUCUCUAAUUAGGAGCUACGUGGCAAUAUUCUAUAGGACCUCCAACAUGUGUUGACUUUGUUAGCCACAUGUCUUAAUUUACAAGGCAAGUUAUCUAUAUAUGUACCACAUAGUUAGCUUAUUCUAUGAAUUGUUACACAAAGUUGACUUGUUCCACAAGCUACUAACAUGUGGUUAACUUGUUGACCAAGUUUUUAACCUAUAAAUACAUCUUAAGUCAAAACCACGUCUAUGAAGCUUCUAAAAAGCUUCUUUAGAAGACUUUAUGAAAUUAAUCUAUAUUUACCUACUUCUAUUUAAUCAUAUAAGUAACUAUUGACGUAAAUGUAUAUGUCCAUGACAUCAAUUGAUCUUCAAGAAGGAUCUCAAUUGCUAUUUGAACCGAUCUAUAAUUUAUCAAAAAAUGAGUUAGCUGAAUCCAAAGAAUAUAAUAAAGAAAAUUUAGCCAAGAACUUCAUAUGCUAUUCUAAAUUUCUAGUAAAAUCUUUAGUUUUAUUUUUGAAAAAAAUAGGUGGAUCAUUGUAAAUGUGUGUCAAUUAUUAAAGACUCAACAAGAUUUUAAGUCACACAAUUGAUUCAUUAUUUGUGUUAAUACAAAAAAAAAAAAACUUAUGUUUCUUUAAAUCACUAGUUUACUGAAUUGAUAUAGUAAGUUGAAGAUAAAUCGAAAAUAAAAAUAAAAUAGGAUAUUAGUUACAAAAAUACAUUUCUUGUAGAAUUAUUCUUGAAAAAGAAAUUUAAAUUACAUAUAUUUUUUUAAUUUAGCUAUUAGAGAUUUAUGAUUUUUUUAUAAUAUAUUUUUUUUAUUAGAAACUUAAUUGGACUAGAAGAUAAUGUAAAUUAAAUCCAAUUAAUUAUAAAAGAAAUAGAAAAAAUAUAAAUAAACUAUAAAUAUAGAUAAAAAUAAUAAAAAAAUGAAUAGAAGAAGAAAGGAAAAAAAGAAAAAAAUAAGAAGAAAGAAGAUAAAAAACUAAUAAGAAAAAAUAUGUAAAAAAAAUAAAACUAGAGGAAAGUAGAUAAAAGAAGAGAAAAAAUGUAAAAAGAACAAGGAUAAAGAAGAAAAAAGAUAUGAAAAAAAAAGAAAAUAAAUUUAUAUAUAUAUAUAGACAAAAAAAGAAAAAAUGAUGAAAGAACAAGAGGCUAUCCAAGAAUGGUGGCAAUCUCUUCAUCAAUAAGGAUAUGGCCGUUGAGAUCUCUCUCUCUCUUAUUUUUUUUUUUUUUUUUUUUUAUUUUCUUGGAUUUUAUAUAAUACAUUCUAGAGGCUCCAAUCUUCAUGGUGUGAUUUUCUUUAAAGAUGUGUAUUACUAAAAUUGUUCAUUCAUUCCAUCAAAAUAUUACAAUUAGUCAAAAGCAAGCAAUGUAGUACUUUAAGGCAUUAUUUUUUUUGAUUUUUUUCAUUGAGUGCAUGCCAUGAUGUGAGAAGGCAUUUGUCAACUCUUGUUGAAUCUCAAGUAGAAUUAGAUUCUUGUAAAUGAAGAAUAAGCUUGUGGUGAAAUAUUUAUAUUUUUUUGUUGUAAUCAAUAAUAUCAAUUCUUUUAUUGUUGAUGAUUGAUCUUAUGGUGAUUAAAGCUACAAUAGCAUGGUUGUUCCUUUUUCCUCUCUAAGAUGCAUAAACAAGUACCUUGAAGUGAUUACAAUUGAUAUGACUAAGAAUUGUCUUAUGAGUGUAGUAGUAGAAUUAAUUGUCUUAUUAUUGAAACUUGAGAUUGCAAGUAAUAGUCAAAGAUCGGAUUUGUCUUCCCUCUCUUUUUAUUUUUAAUUGAAUAUUUUUGAUUGCAAAAAAUCCAAAAAAGGUAAAAUUUGAAAAAUUCAUUGUUAUUUUAUUUUACUUUUGAUUCUGAUUAUGACAAUAUCACAAGUAUUUUAUCCUAAUUGCAAUGCAAUAGAACAAUUACUAAAAGAAUAUCUAAUGAUGAAAAUUUGAAUUUAUUUGUAUUGACUUUCUUAUCAUGUUUUUUGGAAAGUUUUGCAUGCUUUGUAGAUCAUGGAGUAGGCAUAGGCCUAUUUUAGAUUUUUUUUUUUUUUUUUUUUUUUUUUUUGGAGUCCACUACGGUAGAAUAGUAUGUAGUAAAGACAACAUUUAUAAAGGAGGGGGACUCAAUGGCUAUUUUUAUUUUAUUUUUUUUGAUUUUUAUUUUGGAUGGUUUUAGCAACAUGGUUAGGAUCUACUAUAAUUGAUGUGUGUAGUGAAAGUUAUCAUAUUGGGCAUAUGGAACUCAAAAGAGCAAAAAAAAUGGUCGUUUGAGGAGUUUGUUUUGCAUCUAUUUGGGCAUUUAUGUGUUAUGUGCUCAUUAAUUGGCGUAGUGGCAAAUUGUUUCUUAUUUGAUUGAGUGCUGCAAUAUCAACAUUCUUUUUUGUGAUUAGUGUGGGAAUGUGGAACAUGAUAUUAUUGGCAUGGUGCCUUAUUGAAGAUGUUGGCACAAGUACAAAAAGCUAUUCUUAUUUCUUUCAAACGAUGGUUUCAUUGAUACAAGUUGCAUUAUAUGUUUUUGAAAGGAGAAAAUAUUAUGGUGCAAAGUCAAUCACAUGUACAAAAUAUUGGUUGUAGAAGGCAUAUGGAACAACCUCAAUCUUAGAAUGGAAGUAAUUACAAGAAUCAUUCUGAGGUAAAGAUGAGAUUUUAGAUUAGAUAAAUUUAUUCAUAGAAGGAAUUCAAAUUUAGAUGAAGUUAGGUUGAAAAUCAAAGAAUUAGGUUAGGAUUGAAUUAAAUUAAUUUUCAUUAAAAACUGAAGUAAAUAUAUUUUUUUAAAAUUAGAUGAAAUUUAUUUAAAUGAAUUCUUAUAUUUGAAUGAAUUAUUAUUUAAGGAUAAAUUUUUAUUUAUGGAUGAUUUUUUUGUUAAUAGUUGAUCUUUGAUUUAUAUUGAAUGAAAAAUAAUAAUAACAUAAAAUAAAUUAAUAAUAAUAAGAAAAUUAAUAAUUAAAAAAUUAAUAAUUAAAAAAAUAAAAAUAAAAUAAAAUAAAAAUAAAAUAAAAUAAAAAAAUUAUUUUAACUAAUAUUAUAAAAGUGAAUAUUAUUGAAUAUUCUUAUUGAUUAGAAGGUUAUUCAGGAGAUUAAAUAGUUAAUUGAUAAGUCUUAAGAAUUAAUUAUAGUUAAUCAAAACUAUUAGGUAAUUUAAUUGUUGUCAAACAUAAUCGACUUUUAAGUAGUACGGAUUUAUUUUAGUCCACAAAGAUCACUAUUGUGAAUAAGUAUCUACUAUCUUUGAUAUGUAGACUUUUUAAUUAAUUAUAUUAAGCUAAGAUCUAUAUAAAAAUAGAUCUGUAAGAGACAUAUAAUCUAAUAUAUAUCAAAAAAAGAUGUGAGCUCUCAUUUAUGCUCCAAAUUUUUAUUUUUUUAUUUUUUUCUUAUUUUAUGAUAAUUGAGCAUAUAGAUUAGGAUUUAUGUAAAUAAAAUUUGGUUUUAUUAAAUUUUUAGGGUUAUAACCUUUGAUGGUAUAAAUCCUAGCAUGAUUCCUUGAGUUACGUUAAUUAAGACCAAAAUGAUAAGGAUUAGAAAAUUAAAAUAGUUAUUGCUAUAAGGAUUGAUUGUAAGCCUAUGAGUUCACCUACAAUCAUCUCAUAUGAUUUAGAGUGAAUUAGAAUUAGAAAUUUUUAAAAGAUUCACUGAAGCAUUGAAAUUUUUAUUUUUGAAGGAUUUUACAAUAAUUGCUAAAAUCUCUAGAGGUAAAAAAUUUCAUAAAAAUUAAAAAUAAACAUAGAUAGAGGCAUGUAAAUAGUCAAUCUUAGCAUAAAAAUAUAUUUUGAAGACAAUAGUAAAGUUAGAUUUACCAAAAAUUGUUUUUUUUAUCACUUACAAUAGCCAUUAGCAUUGAUAACGAAAUUAGCUUUUAGGUGAAUGACGGCCAUAGAUCUAGAUUAGGAAUCUUAAAAAUCAAAGGUGGAGAUGCAGCCACCCUUCUACAAGCCUCCACUCAAUUAUAUAAGACAGGCUUGGUUUUCCAAGCCCUCUCUCUCUCCUCUUUUGAUGAAGGGCAAAACCAUACUAAAAUUUGACCAAAAAUCCUAAUCUUAAUUUCAUUUAGAUUGUUAAAUCUCAUUGUGAACUUGUGGAUGGGUGGGCAAGGAUUUUUACUUGUGAAUGAUAAUCCAUCCACAAGUUUUAUCAAUGUUACAAAUAUUUUAAAACAUUUGUAACAAACUAAAUCUUAAAUGUUUUAAAACAUUUGUAACAAACUAAAUCUUAAAUUUUUUAAAAAAUUUGUAAUAAAUAUUUUAAAACAUGCUUCAUUGUGGUAGAUAGCUCCUUUGGCCUCCCAAGUACUCUAAUGGUUUUAAGAGCCUCAGAUUUCUCCGAUCAAUUAGUCAAUUUUUUUGUUUCAAUGUAAAAUUUCUUAUAGUUGUAGAUUUUGUUGUUAACUUUUCAACAAGAUAAGACUUGCUCAAUUUGGAGUUGAAUUGAAGUUUUGGUAAAAUUUUUAUUACAAAGGAAUCGAUUGCCUUUGUAAUUUGGAUUAAUCAAGUUUGGGAAGGCAUUUUUCAAUGCCUUAUGAUUGGAUUCAAUUAAAAUUUUAGAAGAAUUGAGCUUUGUAAGCUAAGCUUUGAAAUGUUUAAUUUUUGCUAGAUUUGAAGAAGAUUUGGAAUUUUAGCGAAUUUCUAAGUAAAGGGGGUUGAUUACCAUAAUAGUUUGGAUUAUUCAACUUCAAAAGAAUAAUUCUUACAAUUGAACUACUAGUUUGUAACAAGAUUUAAUAAAACAAGAGAAUAUUUAAGAUAACCUUGCAAAAAAAUAAGAAGCAUUUAAUUUGGAGCUAGUAACAAAUUUUGGAAAAUUUUGGAGUAGCUGGAGGUUGUUGCCUUUAAUCCCUGGAUGUUGUCAAGGUACCUUCACGUUUACCUCUUUUAUUUUAUUUUUACUUUCAUCUUCACAAUGACUAAUAAUCUCCACAUUUCAACUUUUGGCUAGUAAAUUUUAAGUUUUAAGUUUUAACCUUUAAUAUUCUCACUUUAACUUUUAACUUUUAACUUUUAAUUUUUAACUUAAAUUUUUAAAUUUAAUUUUUAACUUUAACUUUUAAAUUUAAUUUUCAACUUUAACUUUUAAAUUUAAAUUUUAACUUUUAAUUUUUACAUUUAACUUUUAAAUUUAACUUUUAACUUUUAAUUUUAAUUUAAACUUAAGUUUUUAUUCUUACUAUAAGUUAAUAGUAAUAACUUAAUUAAUUAAUUUUUUAUCAUUUUUGCAUAGUAAAUUUUAUUUAAUAUUUUAAUUUAAUAUUGAUAAUCAUUGUUUGGAAGGCAUUAAUUUUAAUUGAUCUACAAACACCUGCAUUUAAAUUAACUUAAUAAUUUCACAAUUGAGAAUUCUUCCAUUCUACUUUUUUAGGUCGUUGUAUAGUAUUAGUUCCAUAGAGUAGUGGAUUUUAGGAUUACAAAGGAUAUGAUUGUACUUUGAAGUAGGUAUGGAUAUUUUAAAUAUAAUGUUAUAUCUUUUGGAUUUAGAAAUGCACUCGCAACUUUUCAAUAUCUAAUGAAUGAUUUCUUUUGAGAGAUUUUGGAUGAUUUUAUUAUCUAUUAUCUAGAAAACAUCUUAAUCUAUUGUAAGAACACCAAAAAAGUAUGAACUUCAUGUUUGACAUGUACUACAAAAACUCAAAGAUGUAAAACUCUAUGCCAAGUUAGAAAAGUUUAUAUUUUAUACUACUUAAGUUGACUUCUUAAGAUACAUCAUUUCAAUUGAUAAACUUAUAAUGGAUCCUAAGAAAAUUCAGACUACUAUGGAUUGGAAGAUUCUAAAAAUGAUAAAAAAUAUUUUAUACUUUUUGAGAUUUUCUAAUUAUUAUUAGAUCUUCAUUAAGGACUUCUUUUAAGUUACAAUUCUACUCAUAUAUUUGAUUUGCAAAGACAAACUUUAAUAGAAUCAAGAAGUAAAAGUAAUAUUUGAAUCUUUAAAAAAAACCUUUUUUUUUUUGCACCAAUCUUGUAUCACAUCAAUUAUUUUAAUCUAUUUUAUAUAAAAAUAGAUACAUCAAAAUUUGCUUUAGAUGUCAUAUUGUUACAAAUAAAAAAAUAAUAGACUUCAUCUAAUAGCUUUUCAUUUUAAAAAAAUUUUACCAACCAAGAUCAACUAUAAAAUCUACAAUAAAGAACUUCUUGUAAUUGUGGAUUUAUUUGAAGAAUGGUGCUAUUAUUUAAAAGGCGCUCCUAAUUCAAUCACUAUAUAUAUUGAUUAUAAGAAUAUUGAGUAUUUUAGAUUAAUACAUAUUUUAAAUUAUUGCUAAGCCCACUAGAGUAUGUACUUAUUAAAAUUUAAAUUCAAGAUCAUUUAUUGAUCAAAAAAAUAACAAAUUUUGUCAAAUAUACUUUUUAAAUAAUUUUACCUUAUAUCAAAAGAAAGAGAUGUUAUUUUUGAUCAAAAAUGGAUAAUUUUCUUAAAGCCAAAGUAUCUUCAUCUUUGAGUAAUAAAAUUAAUACUAAUUAUUAAUUCAACUUUUAUUAAGGAAGUUCAAUUAAGAAUAGCUUCUAAUUUUCUUAUUUAAGAUUUAAAAAAAAUCCUUCAAAGUCUAAUGAUACUUUUAAGUUUGAAUUCAAAAAAAAAUAUACUAUAUUUUGAGAGGCACUUGUAUGUUUCAAAAAGUGAAACAUGAUUACAUGUUCUUCAAGCUCGUCAUGUCAUUUUAGCAACAAGAUAUUUUGGAUACAAUAAGACUUUGAAACUAAUAUUUAAGGAUUUUUAGUGGCCUCAAAUAUGGAAGAUUGUCAAAGAUUUUGUUCAUUUAUGUGAUAUUUUCUCAAGAUCAAAAAUUCCUCCUCAUUGACCUCAUGGACUUCUUUAGCCAUUAUCUAUUUCAAAACAAUAAUAAUCUUUUAUUUCUGUAGAUUUUAUUACAGAUUUUUUAGUUUCAACUUCUUAUGACUCUAUAUUUCUAAUAGUAAAUUUUUUUACUAAGGUAGCAAAUUUUAUACCAUGUACAAAAUCUAUCAUAAGUGAAAAAAUAGCUAAGCUUUUUCUUGAAAACAUCUAUUACUAUCAUAAAUCACUUAAAAAUAUUUUAUUGAAUAUAAAAACUUAGUUUGUAUCAAGACUUUGAAGAACACUUUUUAAGUUUUUAAAGAUAGAUAUAAAACUAUCUUUGGCUUUCCAACCUCAAAUUGAUAGACAAAAAAAGCAUAUAAAUUAAGUUUUGGAGUAGUAUAUAAGGUGUGCAAGUACAAAGCUUAUUCCUUAAUCCAAUUAUAAUAUGGCUUCAAUUAAGACGGUCUUAUAAUGGGUGGUAUGAAGUGAAAGUAGCAAGAAUAAGAAAAAAAAAAAAAAAAAAAAAUACAAAAUAAGUAGAACGAGUGCAAUCAAGCGAUUGUACACUAUAAAACUAGUCAUAGUCUGCUCAUUAAGUUUUUAUUCAAUAAAAAGUAAAAAAUAAACAUAAAAAAUAAUAUUUUUAAAAAUUUAAAUUUUUUUAUUUUUAAAAUGGUGUAAGAAACAUAUAAAUCCUAGUUAUUAUGAGUAAAUUAUGAAGGUUUGAAAAGUAACAAGUAAAUGAAUAAAAAGUUAAAUAAAUAAUUUUAUCUCAAAAAUAACUUGCUUAAGAGAUCAAGAAUUUGAACAUCACCAAGGUUCACAAGUAGUAUAUAUUAGUUAUCUAAAGAGGCCUUGAGGUCUUAGUCUUAACUUCCUACGUAUACCUAAGGUGCUAUAAUUGUCACGGACAUAUGCAUGUAAUCUAAUAAUUACUUAUAUAAAUAAGUAGAAGUAAGUAGAAGUGAAUAAAAGUAAGUUAAUUCUAUAAUAUCUUCUAUAAUAGCUUCGUAGAAGCUUCAUAGAUAUUAUUCUGACUUUAUAGGUGUCUUUAAUUGAUUUUUUGGUUUAAAAAUGUGGUCAACAAGUUGGCCAUGUGUCACACAAAUUGUUAGCUUGAAGACCAAGCUAAUUAUGUGGUCUACAUGUAAAAAACUUUGCCUUGUAAGUCAAGGCAUGUGUCCUACAAAGUCAACACAUAUUGGAGGUCCUAUAGAACAUUGUUACAUAGCCCCUAGUUAGAUAGUAUAUAUAGAGACAAGAGUGAAGCCUUCUUCACUCUUGUCAACUCCUUUCUUGUUUCUAGUCUAGUUUCAAGAGACUCAAGUUUUCUUAUCUUUUGGCUAUAAGCCAUUCUAGUUUCUUUUAAUAUAUGUACUUCCUUAUUUCUAUUUUGUCAUUCUUUCUUUGACACGGAUUUCAUUGGUUUAUGCAUCAUCUUUCAGUUCAUGUCCUUGACAGAUUGACAAGACUACACUUACAAUAUCAGAGCUUUGUCUUGUGUUGAUUAAGAGUAGAUUACCUCUUUCUUAUGAUAAGACAUUAGCAUAUUAGAAGUUGUGGAUUAUUCUCUUCUAAACUGAUAUUGUUCUUAGUAUUUUCUUUGUUCUCAAGUCCAUUUCUUCUACUUAUCUUAAGUGGUAUUAGAUAUUUUUUUGAAUAUUAUUAUGACAGAGUUUGUUAAAAUGAAGAAUGCAAUGGCACAAAUGUAAAAGUAAUUGAUGGAGUUGAUGCUUGCGAUGCAUCAACUUAGCUUACCACCAUAAGGAUCAACAAGAAUGGCAGGAAGUGAGGAUAUAGAGAUGAUUAGAGUUGCUUCAACGUCUGCACCAAAUCAUGUCCUUCCACCUAUCAUGGAUUUCAUUGGUUUAUGCAUCAUCUUUUAGUUCAUGUCCUUGACAACAACCCAUAUGGAAUUUGUACACCUCUUUUCCUUAAAUGACUAGACUAGUUACUGACCCUCCUAUUUUCUAUUAGUAAAACUUAUUUUUUUAAAUUUUUGACUUUAUCAUGGUAUUUAAAAAUACCCAAUUAGCCUAUGAAUCUAUUAUGACCUUGAAAUCUUACUCCAAUUCUUCAUAAUGGCUUUUAAAGUGAUAAAACUCAUUUUUACCAAAGUCUUGGAAAUUGCUCUAAAAAUUCCUAAAUCAAAUUCUAAAAAAAUUCUAAAAAUUCUUAUAAUGGUUCUAUAAUACUAAUAUUAAUUGAAGGCUAUAAGUUACUACCUUGAUGAUUUUUAUAAUAAUAAAAUUAAUUUAAAUCUACUAUAAAUCUUACUUUCUAUAUUACUAACUAAAAAGACAUGAGGUUCUUUGUUAUGCUUCUUCUAACAACUAACUAAUAUUUAUACUUUUUUUUAUAAAUAAUAUGUAUAAAUAAAAGGAUAAUAUAAAUAUUGACCUUAGUAAAUAUUCUUCAAUACUCAAUAUUGAGUAAAAAAAAUACUAAACCAACUAAGAUAAUUGCUUCUAAGACUUACUAAGAUUCCAUUUCUUCUCCAUUAAUACUAUUUUCUUUUACAUCUUCACCAAACAUCAAUUUCUAUGAAAAUCCAUCUUGUAUUUUAUGUAUCUUUUUUGAAACCAUAUAAAAUGGUCAAUUUUUUGUUUUAGAAGAAAGUAAAUUACUUUACUUCUAUUAAUAUUUUUUAAAUAUUUUAGAUUAUCCACCUUUAAAAAAAUUGUUGAAUUUUCUAACCUCAAUUUUUUUUUUUCUUAAAGAAAGUGGAUUAUCCUUCUUUGUAAAAAAUUUCAUUUGAUAUUAGAGGUUGUAGAUUACCUUCUUCUAAUUUGACUUGUAGAUUUUUUAAGUUGUUUAAAAUAGAAGGAAAAAUUUUGGAUGCUAAACUUGAUGGUAGUGAGAAUAGAUUUACAACUAUUGCAGAUCUUCAUAAAUUUGUCAAUACUUUUAGAGUAGAAAUAUCAUGCAUCACUAGUGCCAACCUUAGAAACACUAAUCCUAUACCUAUGGAAGAAGUUCAAAAUCUAUGUUAAGAAGUUGUGUAGUUAAAAGAAGCAAGUAGAUCAAUCUUACAACUAAAUCUAAAAAUAUUUACUAAUAUAAGUAUAAUGGAAACACAGAUCAUAUGCCCUAUAAGUUUGAUAAAACAAGAUCAAAAUUUUAAGGAUUUUAGCAACAAGUGAAGUUCUAUCUAAGAUUGUAUCCCUUCCAAUACCUUGAUGGAUUUAUUCAAGUUAGAUUUAUAGGCACACUUCUAUCUAAAAAUGUUCUUUUUUGAUUUGCAUCAAUAAUAGAAAAAAAUUCACAAUUUCUUUAUGAUUUGAAUUCAUUCUUAGAAUUAUUUAUGGCUAUAUUUGGAGAUAAUAAUCAAGAAAGAGUAGUAAAGACCAAGCUCUUAUCUUUACAAUAAGCAUCACAAUUAGUUACUAUAUAUGUUGCUGAAUUCUAAAACCUUACUUGCAACAUGGACUAAAAUGAUAAAGAAUUUAGUAAUCAAUUUUAAUAUAGAUUGAAGGAUAACAUCAAAGAUUUGUUAUUGAUAAUAUUAAAAGAAAAGUCUUUAAAAUAAUUUAUUGCUUAAGCCAUUGUAUGUAAUAAUUGAUUAUUUGAAUAGCAUCAAGAAUAAAUAUUUGGUUGGAGAGGAAUAAGCCAAGUAAUAACAAUAACUCACAAGUUUUUUGAAACUUAUAUAUCAAGGCCAAAACCAAUGCAAUUUGAUAUAAUGCAUUUCAAAUUCCUCAUUGAGCAAGAAAAGACUUGACGUCAUUAUAAGGAUUUGUACUUAUAUUUUGGAAAAGCUAUGUAUAUUAUUUAACAUUGUUUAAAGAAGCAACCUAAUUACAAAAUGAGAAGUAUGAUUACUAAAGAAGAUAAUGUGUCAAAAAAUAAGUUUUUCUAGCUAUAAUAGGAACUAUGUAAUUGGAAUCAUGUACAACAUCUAAUUAAGGUCAUAUUCUCUUCUCAAAUUCUUCACCUUGUUUUAUAAUAGAUGUGUAUUUAGGACCUCAAAAUUACAAAGUCUUUACAUUAUUAGAUUCAAAAGCCUCUGUCUAUUUUAUAAAUAAAGACUUUUUCAAAAAAUAAGAAAUAUCUUUAAUUAAGUAAAUUAAACCUAUACAUGUAGAAAUUAUAGAUGGUCGUUUAUUAUCUUUUGGAGAUAUUAGUCAUGAGACUAUUUCUUAGAUAUAACAAUUAAAGAUCAUAAUAGUAUACUAAUAUUCAAUGUGAUAAGAUCUCCUUCUAAUCUAGUUAUUUUAGGAUUUUUGAGGUUAAAAAAAUAUAAUCUUUAAAUAGAUUGGAUUUUUCUAAUCUUAAAUUUUCUUGUAGUUUAAUCCAAAAUCUCAAUAGGAAAAUAAAAAUAGAUAAGCUUAGUACAUCCAAAUCCUUAUUAGUAGGUACAAGAGCUUUCAUGCAUGUGACAAAAGAAAGAUCAUCUUUUAUUAUAUAUACCACACCUAUUUUUGAUUAUGAAUCGAUAUUAAGUAGCAUACUUAGCCAAAAUCAAGAUUUUUGGAAUGUUUUAAAAAAAAAUGUAAAUAUUCUUUUAAAGUAUCGACCUUAUAAUUGUACAAUUGAUUGACAAGAAGGAGCUCAACUACUAUUCUAACCAAUCUAUAGCUUAUUGCAAAAUAAAUUGGCUAUAUUAAAAGAAUAUAUUUAUAAGAACUUAUUUAAGAAUUUCAUAUGCCAAUUGAAAUCUCCAAUAGGAGCUUCUAUCUUACUUAUUAAGAAAAAAGAUGGAUCUUUAUAGAUAUGCAUAGACUAUCAAGGACUUAAUAAAAUUAUUAUAAAGAAUAGGUAUCCUUUACUUUUAAUUUUAGGACUUCUUGACUAACUCAAUCAAGCAAAGAUCUACAUAAAAUAAAUCUACAAGGAGCAUAUAAUCUGAUCUAUAUUAAAAAAAAGAGAUGAAUAGAAGACUACUUUUCAAACUAGGUAUGGAUAUUUUAGAUAUAAUUUCAUGUCUUAAGGACUCACAAUUAUACUAGUUACUUUUCUACAUUUCAUGAAUGAUGUUGUUUGUGAUUUUUUUGAUGAUUUUAUUAUUUAUUACUUAGACGACAUUCUAAUCUACUCUAAAAAUACAAAAAAACAUGAACUUCAUAUUUUUUAUGUGUUAAAAAAACUUAAAAAUACAUGAUUAUAUGCAAAGCUAAAAAAGUGUGUAUUCUAUGCUACUCAAGUUAAUUUCUUAAGAUACACCAUUUCUAAUAAAGUAUUAGUAAUGGAUCUUAAGAAAGUUUAGACUAUCAUUAAGAACUUUUUUCAAGUUAUAGUUCUUCUUAAAUGCCUGACAUGUAAAGACAAACUUGAGUGAAGUAAAGAAGCUAAAAUAUAUUUUGAAAUCUUGAUGAUAAUAUUUAUUUUUGUACCAAUUUUAUAUUGCAUUAAUUUUUUUUAAGGCAUUCUUUAUAGAAACAAAUACAUCAAACUUUGUUAAGAAUGUUUUUUUAUUACAAAUGAAAGCAAAUAUUAAGCUCUACCUAUUUAUUUUUCAUUCCACAAAAUUUUUAAUACUUGUGAUUAACUACAAGAUCAACAACAAAGAGCUUCUUGUAAUUGUAAAUUUAUUUAAAAAAUGGCGACAUUAUUUAGAUGGCACUUCUAAUCUAGUUAUUGUACAUACAAAUCACAAGAACCUCAAGUACUUUAUGUGAAUAUGUAUUUUGAAUUUUCGCCAAAUCCAUUGUUGUAAUACGUGAAGUCUUGCUUGAGAAUGCUCCGGGCACCUGGCUGUGGAAGGUAGAAUGGAAAUUACAAAAACAAAAUCCUAAUUCUAAUAGAAUAUUAACUAAAUUCUAAUUAGAUUAUAAUAAUGUUAAGCAAACUUUAAUCAAAUUCAAAAAAACUUCAAAAGAAUUACAAAGAAAUAAUAAGAAAUCUUAAAAAAAUAUUAGAAUGAUUACAAAUAUAUCUCAAAUACAUCUCAAUUCAAUCUUAAUUUAAUCCUAGUAGAAAUCCUAUUGGACUUCAUUCAAACUUUAGACCAAAAACAAACUAAAUCUUAAACUCUAAACAAACCCUAAUAAUAUCAUAAAUCCUAAAUCAAAUUCUAAUCAAAUUUUAAAUCCUAAAUCAAAUCCUAAUCAAAUCUUAAACCCUAAACCAAAUCCUAAAUGCUAAAUCAAAUCCUAACCAAAUCCUAAUCCUAAAUCAAAUCCUAACCAAAUCCUAAAUCAAAUCCUAACCAAAUCCUAAAUCAAAUCCUAACCAAAUCUCAAAUCCUAACCAAACUUUAAACUCUAAACCAAAUCCUAAAUCCUUAACCAAAUCCUAAUCAAAUUCUAAUCCUAAAUCAAAUCCUAAUCAAAUCCUAAAUCCUAAAUCAAAUACUAACCAAAUCCUAGUAAUUUCUACAAUAAAUUUAAACCUCAAUAACUAAUAAAUGAACUAUUGAUCUUAACUCAAAUUUUUCACAUUUCUUAAAAACUAAGUUUAAAAUAAGUACAAAAAAUUUGAAAAAGAUUGAAAUUAUCAAAUAGGCAAUAACCUCAAAAAUGUGCUCGAAUAUUGGUUGGCCUCCUUUUCCAACUUUGAUGCCAAUCUUAAAGAGCCAAUAUCACUCUUUUUCCCCAUUUGAUUAAUCUCAAACUUUUUACACACAUAGAAAAACAAGUCUACAAUCCUAACCUAUAAAUUUUACUGCAAUUUUUUUCAAAAAUCUUCCAAUCCAUUUUCUUUAUAAAUACCAAAAAUCUUUCAUUAUCUUUUAAUAUUUCUAACUUACAUAAUUCUUUCUCUUUUUUUUUUUUUUUUUUUUUUUUUUGAAUGCUAAUAAAACUUGAAUCAAAAGCACUUAUAUCUUAUAAGAAUACUUCUUUUUUUAUACUUCUAUAGUCUUACUUUAUAAUGAUACUUCUUCAAUUUUAUUUAUUUAUUUAUUUAUUUAUUUAAUACCAAUGUUUCCCUCUACUCCCCAUAUAUAAGUAGUUUGGAAAUAUCCUCUUUUAUACAUGACCAAACUAUUGGCGAGGUACAAAAUUUAAAAUAAAAAGAUUAAAUCUAAAUCUCUUCCAUAUAGCUACAUACAUCUUGUUUGUAUUUUUUUUCUUAUUUCUUUGAUUCCAAGUCCCAUUUAAGAUGUCCAUGUAAUCUUUAAAUCCAUUGCCCAUGUCUUCAUAUUUGAAGAUUUUUAGAUUUUCUAUCCUUGAAUUCCAUACUUGAUGAUGAACCUUAUCUUUAUCAAAAUCCAAUUUUGUUUCCAUUAUACAUGCAUUAUCUAUAUAACUUUGUUCUUUCUCCAAAAGAAAAGUAUAUAUAAUUAACUUAAUCUUAGUCAAUAACUUGGCAUCCUUAUCUUUUGUCCCAUAAUCUUUAUUUUCCAUAUAAUCUUGUAUAACAUCCUUCAUAUCUUCCUAAAUGCAUCCUUAUGAAAUAUCAUAACCUUUUGUUGUUUCAAAGAAUUGUAUAAUCUCAUAAUAUUGAGAAAUCUCAUGCCCUUUCAAAAUCUCAUGCUCUUAAAAAGUCUCAUAACUUUCAUGAUAAUCCUUUGUGGUUUCACAACCACAUUUAGUAUCAUAACCUUGUGUAAUCUAAUAACCUUCUCUAUUAUGAUCAUGUGAAAAUUCAUAACUUCUUUUAUCUAAUGCAUAUGUGGUCUCAUAGCCAUAUGUAAUUUGACUUUCAUCAUCAUCUCCAUGCCUAAUUCCACCACUUCGUACAUUAUAAUGUUGUCAAUUUAUAUAACUUCUAUGAUCAUAACUUUGAGUAGAUUCAUAAUCCAUCUCUUUUGAAGGCUCAAUCUUUAAUUCAUCAAUAUAUUCCAAAGCACUGGACAAAACAUCUUCACUUCCUUCAAAUAUAGAAAAUACUUUUUUAUCACCAAAAGAUUUUCCAUCCAAAUUGCCAUCACCAACUUGUACAAACUUACUCAAUAUAGAAUAGCCAUAGCUUCCAACUGCAUUGUCGUUAGUUUUCAAAUCCUUGAUUUUCAUAUUACCUUCAAAUUUUUGGAUACCUUGGCCUUCUAUAGUAAUAGUUUGAAAAGAAUCUUUAUUAUCUCCUUCACCACCCUCGAUAUAAGAUCCAAUUUCUUUCAUUUGCAAAGAAUUGGCUUCUCCAUUAAAGUCCCCCACUUGCUCUUCUAUUUUUCUUUUUUUAAGAUUAGUCCCUUGUAUUAGUAAAGAUGACAUAGAAGCCAAAGUAGAAGAUUUCUUAGGCCAUAUUGCAACUCUUUUAGCUUCUGCUUCUUCUUGCCUUGCUAAAAAAACCACUACUUUUUUCAAUUUCUUCCAAUUAUUGAUACAAUCACUUUGUGUAGACUCAUCUACAAGAAGCAUGAAAAAUUCAUCUCCCAAGGCAAUAUUAAGACCAUUUAAAAACAACUCUACCUUUAAAGCACCAAAUGAUCGUCUCUCUAAGGAUGAGAGUUGAUAAAAUCUCCUAUCAAAUUCUUCUAAGGAUUCAUAAAGAUCCAUAUGCUUGCUUGGUUGUAAUUCUAUCCAAUCCAAAUACUUUUGUUUAGUAAUCCUAUCCUCAUCUUGAUCAAUAAAUUCUUCCUUCAAAAGUUAUUGAAAUUAUGACUAUGUCUCUACACCCCUUCUAAGCAAUCUCUUCAUAUUUUUAUUAAAUCUAGGUUCAAUAGCCAAAUAUAAGCUUGAGAUCAUCUUUGCCUUAAUGAUUUGGCAUGUCUCCAUCUCACAUGUAUAAACUUGUAAAAACUUAGUGAUGUUGCAUCCUUCAAAUCUCUCAAAUUUAUUGAUGAUUCUUUGUAAUGCCCUUGUGAUAUCUUUUUUAAUCGCUUGCAUUCUUUGUUGCUCCUCUAUGAAUAUAUAGAAAGCCUUGAAAAGCUCACUAAUAUUUGAUCCAUCCAAAAUAUUUGACCUAUCCAAAGACCUUAAUGAUACAUCUUCCAUUUUAUUCUAUAACGAUCAAAAAUAUUCCUUGAAAUGCUCUAAUAAAUACCUUAUGAUACUUCAAAAUACUCCAACAUAUCUAUAAAGCCUUAUAGUACUCCAUGAUAAUCCAAAUAUUAUCAUUUUAUUUUAAGAUAGUCUCCAAAGCUCUAAGAAUUCAAAAGCUUCAAUUCACCCACCAUCCAAAGCUCUUCUUUCAACUCGUAUUUUUUUUUUUUUUUUUUUUUUUUUUUUCCAUAAUGCAAAUAAUCCAAGAUAAUCAAAUACCUUCCACCUCAAGCUUUUCAUGUCAAGUUCACCAAAUAUAUCAUAAUACAUGACGUAUUGCUUGAGAAUGCUCUGGGCACCUAGCAAAUAGACAAUAGGCUCAAAAAUGUGCUUGGAUAUUCGAUGGCCUCCUUCUUUGAUCUUGAUGCCAAUCUCCUAGAGCCAAUAUCUCUCUUUUUACCAUUCGAUUGAUCUCAAAAUUCUCAUACACAUAGAAAUAUAAGUCUAAUAUUCUCUCACAUAAAUUUCACUCCAAUCCAACUAGUAGCUUGCAAGAAAUCUUAAAAAUCCUUACUAGAUCUAAAAUUCUAUUUUCUAAGAUCUUGACCCACUUAAAUCUCAAUAACCCUCAAUUCAACAAUUAGAUCAUGCUAAGAUUCAUAACACACAUUAAGUACAACUAUGACCAUUAAUCCACAAAAUUUCAUCUCUAGAUCUAUUAUAAAACGCUUGAAAUCACUAGGAACGUCAAGCCUAUUUUAUUUUACAAAACCUAAGUCAUCCAAAAACAAUCUUGACUUUGUAAAGCUCUUACAAAGUCAUAACAACUCUAAUUUAUCCAAAAUCAAUGCUUAUAAAAAUCAUAUCCAGUUUGCUAUCAAACCUUAUUUUUCAAUUUGCAAAAGAAUCCUCGAGUUGUCAUGGAGACUCGGUUUUGUGACUCAAGGUUUGAUUUCGAAUGUGGUUCAUAACCGGCCCUCUCUAGGUAUCAAUAUUUAAUUUUUUUAAGUAAAUUUUACCAAAAUUUACUCUUAACUUCUUUCUAAAGAUGCAUAUUUCAUUUAUUUUUUCAAUCUACUUUGUUUUGCCUUAUUUAUGGUCCUACAAAGUAAGUAGAAGUCACUUUUGUAAAAAGGCAGUACUACUACUAAAAGUUUUACUACCUUCCUAUCUUUUAUCCAUAUUUUUCUACUUUAUCUUUUAACUUGGCUCUUCUAUAAUAAGAUCUAUAUUAUCAUCUUUCACUAUAUAGUCGUGUUACAAUACGACACCAUUGAAAUAUGUUUUUAUGAAGAUUUGAUUUCAACAUCACUUAUAGAUCCAAAAAACAACAAGAUUUAUCAAAUGUCCUUUCUAGAUAUUCUUAUCUUAUACCAAAAGAAUAAAAUACAGCUUUUAUUCAAUAAAGAAUGAUUUUUUUGAAGCCAAAGCAUUUUCAUCUUUAGGCAAUAUAAUCAACAUUGAUUGUUGAUUCAAUCUUUGUGAAGCAAAUUCAAUCAAAUAUAACUUUUGAUCCUUUUGUUCAUGAUAUCAAGAAUAAUUCUUCUAACUAUUAUAAUACUUUUAAUUUUAAAUUUAAGAAUAAUCUAUUCUAUUUCUAGGAAGAAUUAUAUAUUUUAGAAAGUAAAGCAUAAUUACUUAUUCUUUAAGCUCAUCAUGACUUUCUAGUAAUUAGAUAUUUUUGAUAUAGCAAGACUUUUGAGCUAAUAUCUACAGAUUUUUGGUGGCUUCAAAUGUAAAAUGUGGUUAAAGACUUUGUAUUAUCAUAUAAUAUUUAUUUAAUAUUUAAAACUCCUUAUCAUUGAUUUUAUGGACUACUUUAGCUAUUACCUAUUUUGAAAUAAUCAUGGUCUUCUAUUUUUAUGGAUUUUAUCAUAAAUCUUUCAAUUUUAAGUUUGUAUGAUUUUAUAUUCAUGAUAAUAGUUCUUUUUAUCAAGAUGGCAUAUUUUGUACCAUAUACAAAAUCUAUCAUAUAUAAAAGAACAGCUAAGAUUUUUCUUGAUAAUAUCUAUUGCUAUCUUAGAUUGUUCAAGGAUAUUAUAUCAGAUAGAGGGACUAAAUUUAUAUCAAGAUUUUAGAAAAUCCUUUUAAAAAUAUUAAAGAUAGAUAUAAAACUCUCUUUAGCUUUUUAUCUUCAAACUAAUCAGUAAAAAAAAUAGGUGAAUCAAGUUCUAAAGCAAUAUUUAAGAUAUUGUCACGGACAAAUACAUGUAAGCCAAUAAUUACUUAUAUAAAUAGAUAGAAAUAAAUAGAAGCAGAUAAAAGUAAAUUAAUUCUAUAAUAUCUUCUACACAAGCUUUUUAGAAGCUUAAUAGAUGUUGCUUAGACUUUAUAACUAUCUAUAAUUGAUUUUUUGAAUUAGAAACGUGGUCAACAAGUUGGCCAUGUACCACACAUAUUGUUAGCUUGAACACCAAACUAACUAUGUGGCCUACACAUAGAAAAACUUGUCUUGUAAGUCAAGGCAUGUGUCUUACAAAGUCAACAUAUAUUAAAGAUCCUAUAGAACAUCGCCACGUAGCUCCUAGUUAGAUAGUAUAUAUAGAGACAAGAGUGAAACGUUCUUCAUUCUUGUCAAUUCCUUUCUUGCUUCUAGCCUAGUUUCAAGAAUCUUAAGUUUUCUUGCCUUUUGGCAAUAAGCCAUUUCAAUUUCUUUUUAAUAUAUGUACUUCCUUAUUUUUAUUUUUUCACCUUUUUUUUGAUACAAAUUUCAUUGGUUUAUGUAUCAUCUUUCAGUUCAUGUCUUUGAUAAAUGGAUAAGAGUAUACCUACAAUAUGAGAGCAUUGUCUUUUUUUGAUUAAGAGUGGAUUAUUCCUUUUUCUUAAUAAGACAUAAGCAUAUUAGAAGUUAUAGAUUACCUUCUUUUAAACAAAUAUUUUUCUUAGUAAUUUCUUUGUCUUUAAGUUCUUUUCUUCUACUUAUCUCAAGUGGUAUUAGAUAUUUUUUUGACUGUUAUUAUCGUAGAUCUUGUUGAAAUGAAAAGUGCAAUGGUAUAAAUGUAAGAGAAAUUGAAGAAGUUGAUGCUUGCGAUGCAUCAACUUAGUUUACUACUACAAAGAUCAAUAAGAAUGACAGGAAAUAAGAACAUUGAAAUGAUUAGAGCUGCCUCAACAUCUACACCAAAUCAUGUCCCUCUAUUGAUGGCAUGGCAGGGCAACUCUUGGUUCUCUAAUUAUUGAAGGUUUAAGAUAUUAUCCUUCAAUUAUUGGAGAACCAAGAGUUGCCUUGCCUGAUGUCAUAAUAUCUGGCGUUUGGCUUGAGAAUGCACCGGACACCUCGCUAUGGAAGAUAAAAAAAAAUUACAAAAAUAAGUCUUACCAAUUCUAAUAGAUCCUUAAAUAAAUUACAAUUAAAGAUUAGAAAAUAUAAUCAAACAUCAAAUCAAAUUCAAUCAAAAUUUCAAAAGAAUUAUGUAAGAAACACAAAGUAUUGUUAAAGAAUCUUUAAAAAUCAUAAAGAAAUAAUAUAGAAUUAAAAAAUAUACUAUAAUAGAAAUUUUAAUAAAAUAUUAAAAUAGAAACUUUAAUUAAAUCCUAAUCAAAUUCUAACCAAAUCCUAAAUAAAUCCUAAUAAAAUCUUAACCAAAUUCUAAUCAAAUUUUAAUCAAAUCCUAAUCAAAUCCUAACCAAAUCCUAACUAAAUCCUAACUAAAUCCUAAUCAAAUCCUAAAUAAUUUUAAAUUAAUCCUAAUAAAAUUCUAAAUAAAUCUUAAUCAAAUACUAACCAAAUCCUAGUCAAAUCCUAAUCAAAUCCUAAUCAACUUUAAAUAAAUCCGAGUCAAAUUUUAAAAAAUUCCAAUUAAAUUCUAAUCAAAUCCUAAACAAACCUUAGUCAAAUCCUAAUCAAAUCCUAAAUAAAUCCUAAAUAAAUCCUAUUAAAUCUGUGAGGCCAAAUUUCACCACUUGAUUAAAUCUUUGAGGCCAAAUUUCACCACUUGAUGAAACCUAUAUCAUACAAUAAGUCUAAGAGGUGGAAUUAGAGAACUCCCAAUUAUGUAAUUUUUAGAUUAAUUUAAAUAUUUAUAUUAAAAAUUAAAUUAGUUUUAGGCCUUCCAAGCAAUUAUUACCAAUAUUAAAUUAAUAUAUUAAAUAAAAUUUACUAUGCAAAAAUAGUAAAAAUAAUUAACUAAGUUAUUACUAUUAAUUGACCAUAAAAAUAAAAACUUAAGUUUGAAUUAAAUGUUAAGUUAAAAGUUAAGUUAAAAAAGUUAAAGUUAAAAAUUAAGAUUAAAAGAUUAAGUUAAAAGUUAAAAUUUAAAGGUUAAGUUUAGAAAAAGUUAAGUUAAAAGUUAAGAUUAAAGGUUAAGUAAAAAGUUAAAAAUUAAAGUUAAAAGUUAAAGUGAGAAUAUUAAAGGUUAAAAUUGAAACUUAAAAUUUAUUAGCCAAAAAGUGAAAUUUGGAGAUUACAAGUCAUUGUGAAGAUGAUAGUAAAAAUAAAGUAAGAGAGGUGAAAGCGAAGGUACCUUGACAACACAUAAGGAUUGAAGGCAACGACCCCCUUCUACUCCAAAAUUUGCCAAAAUUUGUAAUCGGCCUCAAUUUGAAUGACUCUUAGCUUGUUGCAAGGCUAACUUGAAGACACUUUUGAUCCAAUAAUCCUCGUUGCAAUCUAAUGAUCCAGUCGUGAGAAUUUCUCCUUUGAAGUUGAGUGAUCCAAACUGCCAUGGUGACCAAUCCUCUUCACUUAGAAAUUCACUAAAAAUUCAGAUUGUCUUUAAAUUCAACAAAAAUUAUGCCUUUCAGAGCUCAGCUUAUAAAUCUUCAAGCUCCCAAAAUUUCAAAGAAAGCCAAUCAUCAAGCACUGAGAAAUGCCUUUCCAAACUCGAUUGAUUCAAACUGCAAAGGCAGUCGACUCCCUCGAACUCAAAAAUUCACCAAAAAUUCCUUCUUACUCCAAAUCAAGCGAAUCUUACCUUAUCGGAAAGCUAAAAACAAAAGCUACAAUUACUCAGAAUCUCAAAUCGAAAAAAAAGAAAAUAAGUGACUGAUUGAAGAAAAUCCAAGGCCCUUGAAACCCUUGGGAUAUUUGAAAGGCUGAGGAGAUAUCUACCUCAAUGAAACAUAUUUUAAAACUUAAUGAUCAUCCUUCACAAUGAAAAAUACAUACUUAUACAAUCAUAAGGUUCAAAAUGAGAAUUAAAAUCUAAAUAAAAUUAAGAUUAGGAUUUUGGCCAAAUUUUGGCAUAGCUCCGCCCUUCACCCAAAAGAAGAGAGAGAGAGGGCUUGGAAAACCAAGCCUCUCUUAUACAAUUGAGUGUAGGCUUGUAGAAGAGUGGCUACAUCUUCACCCUUGAUUUUUAAGAUCCCUAAUCUAAAUCUAUGGCCUUCAUUCAUACAAGAGCGAAACUUGUUACCUAGGCUGAUGGCUCUUAUAAGUGGUCAAGAAAGUAUUUUUUUGUAAAUCUAACUUCACUAUUGUAUUCAAAACCCCUUUUUAAGCUAAGAUCGACUACUCAAAUGCCUCAAUCCAUGCUUAAUUAUAAUUUUUAUGGAAAUUUUUACUUAUAAGGAUCUUGGUAAUUUUUGUGAAAUUCUUCAAAAUGAGAAUUUCAUUGCUUCUCUUGUAUUUAUCACUUUAGUCCUAAUUAACCUAAUUCAAGGAAUUAGGCUAUAAUUUAUACCAUCAAGGAUUGUAAUCCUAAAAAUUCUAUAAAACUAAAUUCUAUUUAUAUAAAUCCUAAUCUAACAUGUUUAAUUAUCAUAAAAUAAGAAAAUAACAAAAAAUUAAAUUUUAGAGUAUAAUUAAGAGCUCAAAAAAUCCUAAAUAAUCUCAAGUAAUUCCUAUAGUAAAUUUAAACCUCAGUAACUAAUGAAUAAAUAGUUGAUUUUAACUCAAAAUUUGCACACCUUUUAACGAUUAAGUUAACAAGAAGUAAAUGUUUUUUGAAGAAGUUCAAACUUAUCAAAAAUAAGAUCAAUCCUAAUAUUUUCUCAGAUAUUGUUGGCCUCCUUCUUCAAUCUAAAUAUUGAAUUUUUAGUGUCAAUAAAAUUUUUAUUAAACUGUUUGAUUCAUUUCAAAUUUUUCGUAUAUGUAGAAAAAUAAGUCUAUUAUCUACACAUAUAACUUUUUUUCUAAUCCAAUUGAUAGAUUUCAAAAAAUCUAAGAAAUCUUUACUAGACCUAAAACUCUACUUUCAAAGAUCUUGAUCCACUUCAACCUCAAUAAUCUUUGAUCCAAUCUUUUGAUCAAGCUCAAACAUAUAGCAUAUAUUGAACACAUUUAUAUCCACAAAUCUUCAAAAUUUCACUUAUAGAUCUAUUACCAAACUUACAAAAUUCUCCAAAAAUUAUUACCCACUUUAUUUCAUAAAUUUAGAGUCACCCAAAACAAAUUUUAAUGAAGCAAAGCUCUUACAAAGUCAAUACACACUCAAAUCACACCAAAUCAACAAUCAAAGUAAAUAUAUCAAGUCAAUUCCCAAAACUUAUCUCCAAUCUCUAAAAGAAUUCCAAAAUCAUUGUCGAAGCUCAGUUUUGUACCUUAGGGUCCGAUAUUGAUCUUAGUUCAUAACCGGCCCUCUCCAAGUAUCAAUAUCUAGUUUUUUUAGAUAGUUUUUGUUAAAAUUUACUCCUAAUUUUCUUCUGAAGAUAUCAUUUAUUUUUCCAAUCUACUUUGUUUUUCCUUAUUUAUGACUCAACAAAGUAAGUAGAAGUUAUUUUUUUAAAAAGGCAAUAUUACUAUUAAAAGUUUUAUUACCUUCUUAUCUUUUAUCCAUAUUUUUUUAAUUUAUCUUUUAACUUGGCUCUUCUAUAAUAAGAUCCAUAUUAUGAUCUUUUGCCACAUAGUCAUGUUACAACAUGAUACCGAAAAGUUUAAUGAUACAAGAUCCAAAUUUUGAGGUUUAUCAAUUAAAUACAAUUUGUGAUUGAACUUCAACCUCAAAGCUAUCCAACUCCAAGAUCACAAGUUAAAUUCAUUAAUACACUUCAAUCAGAUUUAUCACUAUUAUGAUUUUUAUCUUUUCUUGAACAACGAGAUUCAAUAUUGGAUAAUUUGAAGGCAUUUUAGGCAAAAUUUUGGUCCAUGUAUAGAGAACAUGAUGCAACUUGUGUUGCAACCAACAAGAUUUAUAUUUUGCGAUAAAAAAAUUAAUCUAUAACAUUAUAUGCUUCACAGUUUCAAUAACUUACAAUUGAUAUCAAGUACGAUGAUACUGCAAUUAUUAACUAAUUUUUCUAUAGAUUAUUAUAAGAAGUAAAGAAAUUGAUGCUCGAUUUACCUGACCCUCUGUCAGAGACAUAUGCAUGUAAGCUAAUAAUUACAUGUAUAAAUAGGUAGAAGUAAGUAAAAGUGGAUAAAAAUAAGUUAAUUCUAUAGUAUUUGGUAUGGAAGCUUCCUAGACGCUUCACUCUUAUCUCUAUAUAUACUAUCUAACUAGGGGCUAUGUGGCGACGUUCUAUAGGACCUCCAAUAUGUAUUGACUUUGUAGGACAUAUGCCUUGACUUAUAAGGCAAGUUUUUCUACGUGUGGGCCAUAUAGUUAGCUUGAUCUUCUAGCUAACAAUAUGUGUGGUACAUAGUCAACUUGUUCACCACGUUUUUAAUCCAAAAAGUCAAUUAAAGAUACCUAUGAAGUCAAAGCAGCAUCUAUGAUGCUUUUAGGAAGCUUCUAUAUUAAAUAUUAUAGAAUUAACUUAUUUUUAUCUACUUUUACUUACUUCCACCUAUUUGUGUAUGUAAUUACUAUCUUACAUGAGUAUGUCCAUGACAUUACCCCCCCUUCUAGGAACGAGUUCUACGAGGAGUGGUCAUCAUAUGUUGAAGAAAUCUAUAAUGUGAUGAAUUGUAUUUGCCACAUACUCUGAUCUUUGUUCUCCUUGAAGAUGAUUGAUAGGGCCUCUCAACCAUCAGUAGUGUUUCAUACCAGGGCGGGAAGACCACCUAGUUAUUUGAUCAUUGUUGAGGCCUUCAUGACUUCUUUCGAAUAGAAUAUUUGGAACAUCAUCAGGAAUUGUUCCUACCUCUAGCAAAAUCACCAAACAUUGGGAGUCUCUUCUCAAAUCGUGAUAUCAAACGCGUUGUAUCUCGCCAUCUAUUCAAGGAAGAACAUGUCAUUCUUGAAGAUCUUCAUCUCGAUUGCAUCGUCUUGAAGGUUGUAACAAUUGUAAUCUCUUGUCCAAUAAGUUAGCAAAUGAAGGCUCUUGAGUCGAAUCCGCUGGUUGUUGGUUCUCCAUCUCCUGAGUAUUACAACUAAAAAGAAGCUAUAAAUAAGGAUUAAAAAUAGAAUGUUAUCUUGCUUAGAUCUUGUUUCUUUUAUAAAGAAGAUUUUCAUCUUGAUUCUGAUGGAUAUUGUCGAUGAAAAGCCUCCAUCGCCUUUGCUGCAUUUACAAGAUUCUUUAUUGACUUCCAUGUGCAUUCACUAAUAUCAUAUCCACGCCAAUGGACAAGAUAUUCCAAUUUAUUUCGACGCCACCUUGAAUCUAAGACUUCUUCUACUUCAAACUCUUCAUUAUUGUCCACUUCUAUAAGAAGAGGUGGAGCUUGUCAUCUUCUUGGUAUGUCCACUGUCUUGUAUGGUUCAAGAAGAGACACAUGGAAUAUUGGAUGGAUUUUUAUUGACUCCGGUAGAUGUAAACGAUAUACAACUGGAUUGAUUUGUGCAGAAAUAGAAAAUGGUUUAAGCCUUUGAUAGUCCAACUUGUCAUAAGGACGAGUGGUCUUGAUAUUGUGACAAAGUAGCCAUAUCUUAUCAUCCAAGAGGAAUAGUGGUUGUUCCUUUCGAUAGACAUCCGCAUUGAUUUUUUGUUGUUCUUGAGCCUCUUUUAACUGUGCCUUCAUUGUUGCAUUUAGCUCUGAUAAAUAAAUCGCCAAAUCUUUUGCAGCAGGAUUAUCAACUUUUGAAAAGCCAAAAGUAUCAAAUCGUGGAUGAUAACCAUAAUUAACAAAGAAAGGUGUUUGUUUUGUAGAAGAAUGUACCGUGUUAUUGUAAGCAAAUUCAGCCAAUUGUAAAAGAGUUGUCCAAUCAUCUUGUUGGUAGUUAAUGGUACAUCUUAAAUAUUACUCCAAAACUUGAUAAACACGCUCCGUUUGUCAAUCAAUUUGAGGAUGGAAUGCCAAAGAUAGUUUUAUAUCCACUUUUAGAAUCUUGAAAAGAGUCCGCCAAAAUCUUGAUACAAAUUGAGUUUCCCUAUCUGAUAUAAUAUCCCUGGAUAAUCCAUGAUAGCAAUAGAUAUUGUCAAGAAAGAACUUAGCUGUUUCUUCACCUGUGAUAGGUUUUGUACAUGAUACAAAAUGUGCCAUCUUGGUAAAAUGAUCUACUAUUAUGAAUAUAGAGUCAUAUGAAUCUGAGAUUGGAAGAUCUGUGAUGAAGUCCAUAGAAACAGAAGACCAUGGUUGUUCUGGAAUGGGUAAUGUCUGAAGAAGUCCAAAAGGUCGAUGAUGAGGAGUUUUUGAUCUUGAGCAAACAUCACAUGAUUGUACAAAAUCUUUGACUCCCUUUUAUAUUUGAGGCCACCAAAAAUCUCUAGAUAUUAGCUCCAAAGUCUUAUUAUAUCCAAAAUAUCCUGUUGCUGGAAAGUCGUGAUGAGCUUGAAGAAUACAUAAACAUGCUUCUCCUUCUGGAAUAUAUAGGCGUCCUUCGAAACAGAGUAGGUUAUUUUUGAAUUCAAAUUUAGAGGGAUCAUGAGAUUUAGAAGAAUUAUUCUUGAUAUCAUGAACAAGAGGGUCUGAAGACAUACUUAACUGGACUUGCUUAAGAAAAGUUAAAUCAACAGUCAAUGUUGAUUUUAUUGCUCAAAGAUGAAAUUGCUCUGGCUUCAAGAGAAUCAUUCUUUGUUGCUCAAAAGCUGCAUUUCCUUCUUUUGGUACAAGAUAAGAACAUCUAGACAAAGCAUUAGACAAACCUUGUUGUUUUUCUGGCCGAUAAGUGAUGAUGAAUUCGAAUUUUGAUAAAGACAUGCUCCAACGAGCUUGACGAUGAUUUAAUACGUGUGCUGAUAUAAAAUACUUGAGGUUCUUGUGAUCCAUAUACAUUGUGUCGUGUUAUGGUUUGGCUACUAUAUGAAAAUAAUGUAAUUAUGUACUUAAUAUAUAAUUUAUUAAGUAACAUAGUGAGAGCCAUGUUAGUAGAUUUUAGUUGCUUGUAGAAUAUAAUUUGAUUAUUACUUUGAGAAGAGGUUGUUUAAAAAGAUUACUAUAGAAUUUAUAUAACUUUAAUUUCCUUUUGAUAGUGGCUUUUAAGAUUGGUUUUGGUUGAUAGUAACUUCUAAAUAUUUAGAGUCACCUUUAUUAGACAUUGGUGACAUUUGAAAACUUAUUUUGGUUCUUUUAUUUGGUGUUUAGAGCUUAAAUUAUGUAAAUCUUAUAAGAAAAAGGAUUGAAGAAGGAUUUUGGUAGCAAAGGGAGUAAUUAGGGCACCAAUAUAGAUGAAUGGAGAUGAAAAAUAAAAAUCUCCAUUCCUAUUGGUCAAAAAUCAAGACCAAUGGGCUUUGAGGAGGCUGCCCGAGGCCAUAUUAGGGAUUAGGGUUAGUUUCUCGAGGCCAUUCGAACUUUGAAGGCUAGGAUUAGAAAUUUUAGGUUUUUGGUUAAGGUUUUGGUGCAAGUUUUGUAUCAUUUGGGGUUUUUAUGAAGAAAUUAUAGGCGCUCAAAGUUAAGAUGUUAGUUUUGGACCUACUGUCACUCUUUUGGGCAUAACGCACGCGUACGGAUGGCAAUUGAGGAUCGGCGACUGCGACUGAAGAGAGCACUUUUGCGGCUAUACUUUUCACAUACUGCUUACUGGAUUCUAAGUUGGGGUGAAGGAGUUAUUGGAUUUUGAAGUCAGCACAUGCAAUCUAAGGGUAGUAAGUAAACCGAUUUACUAGUGUUUGUCUCUUGAGCUAUGUCUUGAGCAAUUUGACAAGGUUUUGGCUCAAAAUUUCAAGGAAUGUGUAAUUUCAUGUUAAUAAAAUUCAAGCAUAAUUUUUAUGAUAUUUGGAGUUCGGGUUUUUGAGAUGUAAGAAAAAUAGUUUUUUAGGUGCUUGUAAAUUAGGGUUUGGAGUGUCUGCUAGGGUUUCUUAGAUGCUAGAAAAUCGGGAGUGAAUUUGUGGUUGUUUUUUUUUGUAGUAAAAUUUUAAGAUAAACUAAACCUAUCUUGUAAAUUUUAAAAAAAUUGAACGGUUAGAUCAAUAAUUAUGAUUUUCUAAAUUUUUAGGCAAGAAAACCCUUUGCGAGAAAAAUAUGUUUUGAAGGGAUUUUGUUAUAUUUGGAGUUUUAUACAAAAAUAAAGGAGUUUUGGAAGCUAAGAAAAGAAUUGUAUAAAGGUUUAAAGUACACUCUCUACAGCUAGAUACCUAGUGUAUUCCCAGAUCACAAAUCAUGCCAUAUGACAAUGGUGACUAGAUUGGAAAUGCCUUCUAGAUAAUGAUCCCAUUCUUGAAAAGAAUCCACAAUUGCAAGAAGUUCUUUGUUAUGGAUCUCAUAAUUGAUUUCUGUUGUUGAGAAUUUUCUUGAAUGAAAGGCUAUUGGAUGAAGUUUGUCAUUUGUUCCCAUUUUUGAUAAAAUUGCACCCAGGGCAAAGUCUGAUGCAUCUGUUUCCAUAGAAAAUGCUUUGAAAAAAUCAACACGUUAUAAGAUUGGUGCAGAAACAAACGCUGUCUUCAAAGAUUCAAAAGCAACUUCUGCUUCUUGAUUCCAUUGGAGUUUGUCUUUACAAGUCAAACAUGUAAGUGGAGCUGCAAACUCAAGAGAAGUCCUUGAUGAAGAUCUGAUAGUAGUUGGCAAAUCCCAAAAAGCAUUGAACAUCUCUUACCAUUUUUGGAAUCUUCCAAUCUAUAAUAGUUUGAACUUUCAUCAUAAGUCCAUCAUUUGAAAUGAUGUAACUUAAGAAAUUGACUUGAGUAGUGUAGAAUACACACUUUUCUAUCUUGGAAUAGAGUCUUGCAUCUCUUAAUUUUUGUAACACACGACAAACAUGAAGUUCAUGUUCUUCUGGAUUCUUAGAAUAGAUCAAGAUGUCGUCUAGAUAACAGACCACAAAAUUAUCCAAAAACUCUUGAAAAAUAUCAUUCAUUAGAUGUUGAAAAGCAGCUUGUGCAUUUGUAAGUCUAAAAGGCAUGACGUGGUAUUCAAAAUGUCCAUAUCUAGUUUGAAACGCAGUCUUCCAUUCAUCUCCUUCUUUGAUGCAUACUAGAUUGUAUGCUCCUCGAAGAUCUAUUUUUGUAUAGAUCUUAGCUUGAUUCAGUUGAUCAAGAAGUAUAGAUAUUAAAAGUAGUGGAUACUUGUUCUUGAUGGUAAUCUUGUUGAGUCCUCGAUAAUCAACACACAUCCGCAAUGAUCCAUCUUUUUUCUUCACAAAUAGAAUUGGAGCUCCUGCCAGAGAUUUAGAAUGGUGCAUGAAAUUCUUGGCUAGAUUUUCUUCAAUAUACUCUUUAAGUUCAGUCAACUCAUUUUGUGAUAAAUUGUAGAUUGGUCCACAUGGCAGUUGUGCUCCCUCUUGAAGGUCAAUUGAGCAAUCAUAAAGAUGAUGUUCCGGGAGUGUAUUCACAUUUUUUUUUUUUAAAUACAUCUUAAAAUUCUUGAUAUUGGCUUGGAAUGCCACUUGAAGUCUUUCCACCAGUACAAACAGGUGUGGCAUAAAUAAUAUAUGGUAAUUCUUUCAUAGUAGUAUGUAAGAAAGCUUUUGCACCUAUAAAUACGGGUUUAAUUGAACUGGACUUAUGAUUCUCUACUUAAUUAACUACACUAUUAGUUAUACUUUUAGAAAAAGUAAGAGUUUGAGAAAUCCAAUCUAUCUGAGGGUUGUAUUUUUUUAACCACGAUAAACCUAAAAUGACUGGAUUAAAGGGAGAUCUAAUGAUAUUAAAUACUACAAAGCUAUUAUGACCAUUGAUUAUUACUUCUAUAGGAAGGAUUUUGUGAGUAAUAUCUCUAGAAGACAAUGGACGACCAUCUAUGACUUCUACAUGAACAAGUUUAGUUUUCUUUACUAAAGAUAUGCUAUGUCUUUUAGUAAAUUCUUCAUCUAAGAAACACACCGAGGCUCCUGAAUCUAAUAAGACAGAGGCUUAGCAAUAUUUAGGUCCUAAAAUAACAUUUAAUAUAAAACAAGGAGAGGGCUCUGAGGAGAGAAGAAGACCUUUACUAGAUAUUGUGCAAGGUUCUAGCCGCACGGUCCCUAUUGUAGCUGGAUAAAUUUGUUUUUUGAUAUAUUGAUUUCUUUCACAGCCAUACUCCUCAUUUUGUGAUUGCGUCAUUUCUUUGGACAAUGUUGAGCAAUGUGCUUUAGUUCUCCAUAAUAUAAACAUAAUCCUUCUUGACGACGACGAGUCUUUUCUUGCUCAGUAAGAUGUUUGAAAUCUACUGCAUUAAUUUGCAUAUCCGCUACUUCCGAAUGUAUAUAUUAAAGAAGUGUUGGUGUUGCCAUUGAAUUAUAGUAAUGUUGAGGUCUACUUGUACGAUUCUCAGAUUGAAAUUCAAAAAGGUGAUUGUCGCACUUCACAGCAAAGUCAAUUGCUUGAUUUAAUGUUUGAAGAUCAGGUAAGUUGAGCAUUAAUUUUUUUACCUCAUAUUGUAAUCCGUAGAAAAAUUGGCUAAUAAGUGUAGUAUCAUCCCACUUGAUAUCAGUUAAAAGUUGUCAAAAUUGUAAAGCGUAUAAUGUUACUGAUCGAUUACCUUGUCGUAAAAUAUGGAUCUUAUUGAUUGCAAUACAAAUUGCAUCAUGUUCUCCAUACAUGGAUCAAAACUCCACUAGAAAAGCCUCUAGAUUAUCCAAUAUUAGAUCUCAUCGUUCAAGAAAAGAUGAAAACUACAAUAGUGCCGAACUUGAAAGAAGCGUACCAAUGAAUCUAACUUGCGAUCCUAGAGUUGGAUAGCUUUGGGUUUGAAGUUCAAUCACAAGUUAUACUUUAUUGAUAAAUCCUUGAAAUUUAGAUUUGGUGCCAUCAAAUUUCUCGGGUAGGGCAAUUCUUGGUUCUCUAACAUUGAAAGGGCGUUCUACCAUAAGAGAAAGGACAUGGUUUGGUACAGAUAUUGAAGCAGCUCCAACCAUUUCUAUAUCUUCACUUCCUAUCAAUCUUAUUGCUCCUUGUGGUAGUAAAUUGAGUCGAUGCAUUGCAAGCAUUAACUCCUUCAAUUGCUCUUGUAUUUGUGCCAUUGCACUCUUUAUUUCAACAAGUUCUGCCAUGAUACUACUUAGAAAAGAGAAGAUGUCUAAUAUUGCUCAAGAUAAAUAGAAGAGAAGAAUUGAAAACAAAGAAAAUACUAAGGACAAUAUCAGUUCAGAAAAAGGUAAUCCGUAACUUCUAAUAUGCUUAUAUCUUAUAAAAAAAAAUGAAUAAUCCAUUCUUAAUCAAGAUUAGACAAAGCUCUGAUAUUGUAGGUGGACUCUUAUCAAUCUGUCAAGGAUAAGAAUUCGAUGAAAAAGAAAUUCAGUCAAGUAAGCCUUCACUCAAAAAAAGGUAACAAAAUAUAAAUAAACAAGUAUGUAUAUUGAAAGAGAAACUGGAAUGGCUAUUGCCAAAAGACAAGAAAACUAGAGACCCUUGAAACAAGACUGGAAGCAAGAAAGGAGUUGACAAGAGUGAAGAAGGCUUCACUCUUGUCUCUAUAUAUACUAUCUAACUAGGGGCUACAUGGCGACGUUCUAUAGGACCUCCAAUAUGUGUUGACUUUGUAGGACAUAUGCCUUGACUUACAAGGCAAGUUUUUCUACAUGUGGGCCACAUAGUUAGCUUGAUCUUCCAACUAACAACAUGUAUGGCACAUGGCCAAUUUGUUGACGACGUUUCUAAUCCAAAAAGUCAAUUAAAGACACCUAUGAAGUCAAAGCAGCAUCUAUAAAGCUUCUAGGAAGCUUUCAUAUUAAAUACUAUAGAAUUAACUUACUUUUAUCUAUUUUUACUUACUUCCACCUAUUUGUAUAUGUAAUUACUAGCUUACAUGAGUAUGUCCAUGACAUCUUGCUUCCAAUCUAGUUUCAAGGGUCUCUAGUUUUCUUGGCUUUUGGCAAUAGCCAUUCCAGUUUCUUUCUUAAUAUACAUAUCAAGUUAUUUCUAUUUUGUUAUCUUUCUAUGAAAGAAGUUUCACUUGUUUAUUUGUCAUUAUCAUGUUCUUGCCCUUGACAAAUUGAUAAGAGUAUACUUAGAAUAUCAGAGCUUUAUCUAAUCUUGAUUAAGAGUGGAUUACCCCUUUUUCUUGAUAAGAUAUAAGCAUAUUAGAAGUUACGGAGUACCCUCUUCUAAACUGAUAUUGUCCUUAGUAUUUUUUUUGUUCUCGAGUCCUCUCUUCUAUUUGUCUUGAGGAAUAUUACACAUCUUCUCUUUUCUAAGUGUUAUUAUGACAAAACUUCCUGAAAUGAAGAGUGCAAUGGUACAAAUGCAAGAGCAUUUGAAGAAGUUAAUGCUUGCUAUGCAUCAAAUCAAUUUACCACCACAAAGAGCAACAAGAUUAGCAAGAAGUGAAGAUAUAGAAAUGAUUGGAGCUGCUUCAACAUUUGCACCAAAUCAUGUCCCUUUUCCUAUAGUGGAACGUCUUUCUAGUGUAAGAGAACUUAGAAUUGUCCUACCCGAGAAGUUUGAUGGCACCAAAUCUAAGUUUCGAGGAUUUAUCAAUCAAGUACAAAUUGUGAUUGAACUUCAAAUCCAAAGCUAUCCAACUCUAGGAUCGCAAGUUAGAUUCGUUUGUAUGCUUCUUUCAAGUUCAGUACUAUCAUGGUUUUCAUCUUUUCUUGAACGACAAGAUUCAAUAUUGAAUAAUCUAGAGGCUUUUUUGGCGGAGUUUGGAUCCAUAUAUGGAGAACAUGAUGCAAUUUGUGUUACAACCAAUAAGAUCCAUAUUUUAUAACAAAGUAAUCGAUCAGUAAUGUUGUAUGUUUUAGAAUUUUGAUAUUAAGUGAGAUGAUGCUGCACUUAUUAGCCAAUUUUUCUAUCGAUUACAAUAUGAGGUAAAAAAAUUAAUGCUCAACUUAUCCGAUCCUCAAACAUUGAGUCAAGUAAUUGACUUUGCUGUGAAGUGUAACAAUCAUCUUUUUGAAUUUCAAUCUGAGAAUCAUACAAGUAGACCGCAACGUUACUAUAAUUCAAUGGCAACACCAACACCUCUUCAAUACAUACAUUUGGAAGUAGAGAAUAUGUAAAUUGAUGCAGUAUAUUUCAAACCUCUUAAUGAGCAAGAAAAGACUUAUCGUUGUCAAGAAAGAUUGUGCUUAUAUUGUGGAGAACCUAAAUACAAUGCUCAAUAUUAUCCAAAGAAGCGAUGCAAUAUAAAAUGAGGAGUGCGACGAUCAAAGAAGAUAGCAUGUCAAAAAACAAAUUUGUUUAGCUACAAUAGCGACAGUGCGGCUCGAAUCUUAUACAAACGCCUAGUGAAGGUCCUAUCUUCUCUUCAAAACCCUCUCCAUGUUUUACAAUAAAUGUUAUUCUAGGACCUAAAUAUCUCAAAGCCUUUAUCUUGCUAGAUUCAGGAGCCUCAGCAUGUUUCUUAGAUGAAAAAUUUGCUAAAAGACAUAGCACACUUUUAGUAAAGAAAACUAAACCUAUUCAUGUAGAAGUUAUAGAUGGUCGUCCAUUAUCUUCAGGAGAUGUUAUUCGUGAAACUCUUCCUAUAGAAAUAGCAACUAAUGGUCAUAGUAGUUUUAUAAUAUUUAAUAUCAUUAGAUCUCCUUCUAAUCCAAUCAUUUUAGGUUUAUCAUGGCUAGAAAAAUAUAACCCUAAAAUAGAUUGGACUUCUCAUAGUCUUGACUUUUCUAAAAUUAUAACUAAGAGUGUAGUUAAUCAAGUAAAAAGUCAUAAGUCUAGUAUAAUUAAACCUAUAUUUGUAGGUAUAAGUGCUUUCUUGCAUGCUGUAAAAGAAGGAUCACCUUGCGUCAUUUAUGCCACACUUAUUUCUAUUGGUGGAAAGACUUCAAGUGGCAUUCCAAGCCAAUAUCAAGAUUUUAAAGAUGUAUUUGAGAAAAAGAAUGCAGAUACUCUUCGAGAACAUUAUUCCUAUGACUACUCAAUUGACCUUCAAGAAGGAGUACAACCGCCAUUUGGAUCAAUCUACAAUUUAUCUCAAAAUGAAUUGCUUGAACUCAAAGAGUAUAUUGAAGAGAAUUUGGCUAAGAACUUCAUAUGCCAUUUCAAAUCUCUAGUAAGAGCUCCAAUUAUAUUUGUGAAGAAAAAAAAUGGAUCAUUGCGGAUAAGUGUUGAUUAUCAUGGACUCAACAAAAUCACUAUCAAAAACAAGUACCCACUACCUUUGAUAUCUAAACUUCUUGAUCAGUUGAAUCAAGCUAAGAUCUAUACAAAAAUAGAUCUACGUGGAGCACAGAAUUUGGUAUGCAUCAAAGAAAGAGAUGAAUAGAAGAUUGCGUUUCGAAGAAGGCAUGGAUAUUUUGAAUACAACGUCAUGCCUUUUAGACUUACAAAUGCACUAGCAGCAUUCGAACAUCUAAUGAACGAUGUAUUUUGGGAGUUUUUAGAUGAUUUUGUUAUCUAUUACCUAGAUGACAUUUUAAUCUAUUUUAAGAAUUCAGAAGAAUAUGAACUUCAUGUUUGCCAAGUAUUACAAAAAUUAUUAGAUAUAAAACUCUAUGCCAAGAUAGAAAAGUAUAUAUUUCACACUACUCGAGUCAACUUCUUAGCAUAUAUCAUUUCAAAUGAUGGACUUAUGAUGGAUCUUAAGAAAGUUCAAACUAUUAUGGAUUGUAAGAUCUCAAAAACGGUAAGAGAUGUCUAGUGCUUUUUGGGAUUUGCCAACUAAUAUCAAAUCUUCAUCAAAGACUUCUCUCUAGUUGUAGCUCCACUUACACGUUUGACUUGCAAAGACAAACUUCAAUGGAAUCAAGAAGCAGAAGUAGCAUUUGAAGCUUUGAAGAUAGCCUUUGUUUCUGUACCAAUCUUGUAUCGCAUCAAUUUUGCUAAGCCAUUUUUUAUGGAAAUAGAUGUAUUAGACUUUGCUUUAGAUGCCAUAUUGUCAUAAAUGGGAACAGAUGAUAAACUUCAUCCAAUAGCUUUUCAUUCUAGAAAAUUUUCAGCAAUCGAGAUCAACUAUGAGAUCCACAAAAAAGAACUUCUUGUGAUCGUGGAUUUGUUUCAAGAAUGGCACUAUUAUCUAGAAGGUGCUUCUAGCCUAGUCACAGUAUAUACGGAUCACAAGAACCUUGAAUAUUUUAUGUCAAUACGUAUUUUGACUUGUCGCAAAGCCCAUUGGAGUAUGUCUUUGUCAAGAUUCGAAUUCAAGAUUACUUAUCGACCAAGAAAACAAUAAGGUUUGUCAAAUGCACUUUCUAGACGAUCUUAUCUUUCAUCAAAGGAAGGAGAUGUUACUUUCGAUCAACAAAGAAUAAUUCUCUUGAAGCCAAAGCAUUUUCAUCUUCGAGCAAUGAAAUCAACACUAACUGUUGAUUCAACUUUCAUUAAGCAAGUUCAGUGAAGUAUGUUAUCUGCUCCUCUUAUUUGUGAUAUAAAGAAAAAUCCUUCAAAGUCUCAUAAUACUUCCAAGUUUAAAUUCAAGAAGAAUCUACUAUAUUUUGAGGGAUGCCUAUAUGUUCCAGAAGGUGAAGUUUGAUUACGUGUUCUUCAAGCUCAUCAUGACUUUUCAGCCAUAGGAUAUUUUGGGUACAAUAAAACUUUGGAACUAAUAUCCAAGGACUUUUGGUGGCCACAAAUGUGGAAAGAAAUCAAAGAUUUUGUACAAUCUUAUGAUGUUUGUUCAAGAUCAAAAAUUCCUCAUCAUCAACCUUACGGACUUAUUCAGCAAUUACCCAUUCCAAAACAACCAUAGUCUUCUAUUUCUAUGGAUUUCAUCAUGAAUCUUCUAAUCUAAGGUUCUUAUGACUCUAUAUUCAUGAUAGUAGGUCGUUUUACCAAGAUAGCAUAUUUUGUACCAUAUACAAAAUCUAUCACAUGUAAAGAAACAGCUAAGUUCUUUCUUGAUAAUAUCUAUUCCAAUCAUAGAUUACCCAAAGAUAUUAUAUCAGAUAGGGGAACUCAAUUUGUAUCAAGAUUUUGAUAGAAUCUUUUUAAGAUUCUAAAAGUGGAUAUAAAACUAUCUUCGAUAUUCCAUCCUCAAAUCGAUGGACAAAUGGAGCAUGUUAAUCAAGUUUUGGAGUAGUAUUUAAGAUGUUCCAUUAACUACCAACAAGAUGAUUCGACAACUCUUUUGCCAUUGGCAGAGUUUGCUUACAAUAACAUGGUACAUUCGUCUACAAAAUAAAUAUCUUUCUUUGCUAAUUAUGAUUAUCAUCUAUGACUUGAUACUUUUGACUUUUCAAAAGUUGAUAAUCCUGUUGAGAAAGAUUUGGCAAUUCAUAUGUCAGAGCUACAUACAACAAUGAAGGCGUAGUAAAAAGAGGCUCAAGAACAAUAAAAGGUCAAUGCAGAUGUCUUUCAAAAUGAACAACCACCAUUUCACAUGGGUGAUAAGGUAUGGUUACUUUGUCACAAUAUCAAGACCACUCGUCUUUGUGACAAGUUGGACUAUCAAAGUAUGGAUUUAUUUUCUAUUUUUGUACAAAUCAAUCUAGUUGCAUGUCGUUUACAUCUACCAAAGUCAAUGAAAAUCCAUCUAGUAUUCCAUGAGUUUUUUCUUCAACCAUACAAGACAGUGGACAUACUAAGAAGAAGACAAGCUCCACCUCUUCCUAUAGUAGUGGACAAAAAUAAAGAGUUUGAAAUAGAAAAAGUCUUAGAUUCAAGGCAGUGCCGAAAUAAAUUGGAAUAUCUUAUUCAUUGGCACAGUGUCAUAGUACGUGCUUUUCUGCUCGAGAACGCACCGAGCGUCUGGCUGUAGAAGGUAGUAUAGAGAUUCGCUAUUAUUCAAGCAGUCUAUCAGUUUUUGACUAUUAGAAUAUAAACGAUUGCAAGAAUAUACCGUAAAUCUAUACGGAUGUCCUUAGACUGCUCGUCGAAAUCCUUUUUGUCCUAGUCGGUAGAUCUCUAGAUGUUACAGAGAACCUCGAACAACCCAAUCUGCUAAUCUUCGAUACAACUUUAUACUCACGAUCUUAUAUCCACUAACUGUGUUCUUAGAUUAAUCCAAAACUUUUCAUUCACUCUGCAUACUCAAUCCUAUAGACACCCUUUUAAUUCUUCAAUCACAGAUGUAACUUCGAUUUCACAAAAUAGUCAAGAAUAAUCACACCUACUUUAUUAAAACCCUGAUUCACCAGUACAACACAUCGACCUUUCAACAUUGAACGCCAGAAGUCCCUUUUCUGACCUCUAUCCAAAAACCUUGUAUCCUCCCUUUUUCUUAACCUCCCUAAUUCCCGAAUCUCUGAAUCCUCUCCUCCACCCUAACCAUUUCCGAAUGUUUUUUUUUUUUCUCUCUUUCGAAAAAAAAAAAACAAAAAAAUCUAGUUCACUAACACAAUACUGACUUUUAGCAACGAUUGCCUCCGUCUUUCCUAAAAUCCUAUGAAAAAAAAAUCCCAAUUCUCUGUCUUUUCUCCCCUCCCCGAAGCAUGAAGCUAGCUCUCCGACCCUUAAAACCCUAAUUCUCCCCUCUUUUCAAACCCUAGCCUCUGAAUUUCUUCAAUCUUCCGUCUUGGAUCUGGAAUUGGCUCCACCAUCAGAGCUUUCUCCUCCAUUUAUUACCUUAUAAAAGGUUCUUUUUUUAGAAAUAAUGUUCCUUGAAACGGCACAGAGAACAAGACAGCCUAAAAUACAAUCGAAACCUCCAUAAUCGGGACCACAUUGAGUCGCCCGACCAAAUCAAGUCUCACAUUGGCUAAGAGGCCCAUAGUAAGACCUGGAUAUUCCCGUAAUUGGGUCAAAUUGGUCCAUCGCGUCAAGCUCACUCAGUCAUCGAUUUAGUCUUUUUGAUUCUGUUGACUUCCACUAUUAUACUCGAACGAAGCAUUUCAUUAUUAGUAAGUAUGCCCUGACCGAUUGUGAUAGGGUCUCUGAACUGGCCCCUGAAUAUUGGCAUUGGAAUCAAUUGUUACUCCCAAUGUUGAUCAAUUGAUGUUUCAGAUUACGGAGGUUUCGAUUCUGUUUCAGGCUGUCUUGUUCUCUGUGCCAUUUCAGAGAACGUUGUUUUCGGUAAAAGGAUCUCUUAAAAGUAAAAACGGAGGAGAGAACUCUAACGGCGGAGCCAAUUUUGGAUCCAAGACGAAAGAUUGAAGAAAUUCAGAGGCUAGGGUUUGAAAGAGGGGAGAAUUAGGGUUAAAGGAGAGAAUGAGGUUUUGAAGGGGAGAGAAUAGUUUUGAGGGUUUGAAAAGGAUCAGAGAGAGAGCUUCAUGCUUCGGGAGGGAAAAAAAGACAGAGAAUUGGAUUUUUUUUCUUCAUAGGGUUUUGAGAAGAUUGAGGCAAUCGUUGCUGAAGUCAGUGUUGUAAUGGUGAAUCAGGAUUUUUAAUGAAGUGGGUGUGAUUACUCUUGACUUUUUUGUGAAAUCAGAGUUACGUCUGUAAUUGGAGAAUUAAAAAGGUGUCUAUAAGAUUGAGUAUGCGAAGUGAAUGAAAUUUCUUGGGUUAAUCUAACGAGACAGUCAGUAGAUACAAGAUCAUGAGUAUAAAGCGGUAUCAAAGAUUAGUAGUUUGAAUUAUUCAGGGUUCUCUGUAGCAUCUAGAGACCUACCGGUUGGGGCAAAAAGGACUUCGGUGAGCAGUCAAAGGACAUCCGUAUAGAUUUACGGUAUAUUCUUGUAGUUGUUUAUAUUCCAACAGUCAAAAACUGAUAAACUGCUUGAAUAUUAGCAAAUCUCCAUACUACCUUCUACAGCCAGACGCCCGACGCGUUCUCGAGCAUAAAAGCACGUAAUACGAUAACACCUCAGUAAAUUCAUCCACAAUAGGUCCAAUUCCUGCAUUCCUGAUAGUUACUGCAUUCAUCGAUUACAUAUCGUGAAUAAACAGUAGUGACCCAUUCUUCUUAGCUAUCGUAAACCAUCGACUAGAAUACGGUGCAAAUUAGGGUUCCAAUAUUUUCAUCUUCAUCUUUUCUUUUAAUAGUUCCACCUAUUUAGGUAAAUGUGCCUUUGGUACUGGUAUUGGUCUUAGAUUCUAAGGUACAUGCGGUACAGUGAAGAUAACCAUAGGUGUUAUAAUAUUCGGAUCCACACACUCAAUUUCAUAAGAUUCAAAGACAAACGAUCUACCUUGUUUAGCCAACAUUUUUUUGAAGCAAGUAAUUUCCUCCAGCAAUAAAGAACCAUCAAAACCAAUCUUCAAUUCUUGAAAAGUCUCUUUAGUAAACUGAUGUCCAAUACUUAUUGGAUAUCUUAAACUUGCUUCUUUUAAUGCUUCUCCCAUUUGUUCCUUAGAGUCUUCUGGUAAUGGUCCGGCAAUAGGCUUUACUUUCUUAUCUGCCAUUUUAUAUCUCGUCUCUACAGUGACUUCUAGUGCUUGAAAAGAUUCAAAUAUGCUAUAAACCUCUCUUGAAUGAAUCUCAACAAUCUUAUCAUUAUUUCCUAAUCCAAUAGAUGUAAUCAAUUCCAAUGAAUCUUUCUAUCCAUUUUCUUCAUAAACACCUAAAAUCCUCACAUCAUCUUGCAAUGUACCUAACUUGCAUAAUUCUCCUUUAAUAUUAUAUAAUCUUUUUCUUUCUUUUCUUUUAAAAUCAUCAACUUUCUUAUACAUAACAUUUCCAUUCUCCAAUAUACCAAUAAAACUCACAUCAAAAGUACCUUCAUCUUGCGAGAAUACCUCCUUUUUUUGUACCUCCAUGAUCUCACUUUAUAGUGGUACCUCCCCAAAAUCCUUAAAUCCUUCAACAAUCUUUGGCAAUGGUUUCUCCCUCAACCUAUCUCGAUUCUGUUCAUGGUUAGGAGAUACUGUUAGAAAUUGUAUAGCUUUCCUCCCAUCUUUGCUACGUACCCUUGCAUAAGCAGAACCAUCGUCAAGUACUUUUGUUUCCAUCCAUGUUGCCAUAAUAUAAGAUUGUCCUAAAAUCAAUGGAUAAGACGUUGUAUCUUGAACAAAGAAAUGUUGCUCUAUCGCAACAUCUCCAAUCCAAAUUUUGAUAUCUGGACAAGCUCCGUAUAAUUCGCCCCAUGUGUUAUUAGCUGCUCGUAUUGCCCAUCCAUGUUCCAUAUCAAUUGGCCAUUUUUGCUUCUUAUAAAGAUCUUUAGACAUAAGAUUUAUUUCAGAACCAUGGUCAAUUAAAGCAACAAUUGGUUCUUCUAUAUCUCCUACUUUCACCAAUACCUCAGUAGUUGCCAUUGUCCAAUGCUUUUGAGUAUAAUGAAUCAAAGUUUCUAUUUCCUUAUCACUAUAAUCUUUCAACCGUACUCGUUGAUUAUAUCCAUUCUUUUCAUUUGUUGGUUGCUUGUAACCAAUAUCAACCUCUUCCUCAUCUUUAUAUAUUUUCGCAUCAAUAGCAUGACUAAUUCCAGUUUUGCCUAUUAAUUGCCUUUUUUGCUUAAUGCUGUCAAUGAUGACAUCAUGAACUCCUUCUUUGCAAUUCUCAAAACUUCUUUCAAUGUGAAUUCCACCUUAGCGUUUAAUAUACAUUCUUCCAACACCCCUUUCAAAUUUGUUGCCGCUUCAAUGUCAGAAAGUAGCUUAUAAGCAAUUGAUUUGUCCUUAUCUUUUGUCUCCCUUGUUUUUUCUUCCAAUAAUGCUGAGGUAUCCUUUAUAGGUAAUUCUUGUGAAGCUGCCUCCCGAGCCUUGUCUCCUCGAGUUUACCUCUUAGAAGAAUUUCCUUCUCUCGUAAUAUCAAAAUUUCCUCGUCUCUUUUCUUCCAUCAAAGCUUCAUGUUGGUUCUUAGCAAUAUAUACAUGAAUUGAAAGAGACUCAAUAGGAUUCUCCCAACCUAAUACACCUCGUGUUGUAGCUUCAGUCCUCAAUAACGCUUCUCAAGGUAAUUUCCCUUCUUGCAUUAUAGAAAUGGCACAAGCCCAAAACUCACUAGUUUUCGUAUCUCCACUAAGGUCAUCAUCUACUCUAGCACCAUAACUUGCAGUUUCUCGUGUUGCUAUUUUAUGCUCUUUUAAGUAAUCUUGAACCAAUGCUCUCAUUCCUCCCUUGCCAAAAUUAGUUUGAAGAAGAUCCUCCCUAUCUUUUAAUACUAUCUUCCCAUCUUUCUAGCAAAUAAUUCCUUGUCGUAUCAUAUUAUUAAAUUCAUUGCAAUCUUUCCUAGUGUGUGAAGCAUCAUGACACCAAAUGCAUCUUUGUACAUAUCCUUGUUUUGAAACAUUCUUCGAAUUAUUUGUAGAAGUAUUCUCUUUAAGUCUUGCGAAUUUGAUUUGAAGAUCUCGCAUUCCUCGUGUAAUUUCUUCCAUCUCCAUAUCUGCUUUCUUUGAUAAGGAUGUCAAAGGUUGAACUAUAGGCAUUGUUGGUGGUGUUGUACGUACUGGAGCUUUGGGUGUUUGUACUGUUUUCGGAAUAUUGCUCCUAUCCUUCCUCUUUUCUCUUUUUGUAAGCAACCCCAUCGCAUCUUCAAUGUUCUUCCACUUUGUUGUCAAUCCUUCAUCUUCUUCUUUGUCAUCAAGAAGGAGUUCUAAUUUCCUUUGCAAUUCUCCAUCAGCAGCUAUAAGAAAUAGAUUAACUUUAUUUGGCUCCAAAAUCAAUUUUUCUACCUUCCAUAAUUGAGAGUACUGCCUCUCAAAUUCCUUUAGUAGCUCUAUUGCUUGCAAAUUCUUAUUAGGCCGUUCAAUCCAUUCCAGAAACAACUUCUUAGUAACGUGAUCAAUAUCUUUCAAGAAAUAUUCGUCCUUCAAUGCAUGUGAAAAAACCUCCCAUGAAUUCCCAUAACGAUCCAUAAUCGAUGUAAUAUGGUCUCUUAUUUCCGUUAUCAUGGCAAGUCCAAUUAAUUCAACCAUUUUCUUCUCAAAAACCCGAUUUAAUUCCAUUUUAUGAAUAUAACAUCUUAAAUUCUUUGAAAUAUUCCUUCCAUCAAAUUGAUCAAUUUUAUUGACCACUGCUUGUAAUGCUUUGGUUGCCAAACCUUCCUUUCGAUCAUUGCUUUGCUACUGCUGCAUUGAUAAUGAGAAGGCUUGAAACAUACUAGCAAUAGACGGAUCCAUGUGCAUACCUUGUCCUUUAGAAGAACCUCCAUCAGAAACUCCUCCCAAAGAUCCUUCAAAAUUUUUAUUUUUGUUCUCCAUAAAAAUAAAAAUAAAAUCAAACAAAAUCCAAUACAUUCUACCUCAAGCUUUCACGUCGGGUUUACCUCUUAUGUCAUAUUACGUGCUUUCCUACUGGAGAAUGCACCUGGCCACUAGCUGUAAAAGGUAGUAUUGAAAUUCACUAAUAUUCAAGCAGUCUAUCAGUUUUUGACUGUUGGAAUAUAAACGAUUGUAAAAAUAUAUCGUUAAUCUAUACAAAUGUCCUUCUUGCCGUAAAUCUAUACGAAAUCCUUUUUGCCCCAGCCGAUAGGUCUCUAGACAUUAUAAAGAACUCCUAACAACUCAAUCUGCUAAUCUUCGAUACCUCUUUAUACUCAUGAUCUUGUAUCCACUGACUGUCUUGUUAGAUUAAUUCAAAAAUUUUUAUUCACUCUGCAUAUUCAAUCCUAUAGACACCCUUUUAAUUCUUCAAUUAUAGAUGUAACUUCGAUUUCAAAAAACAGUCAAGAAUAAUCACAUCUACUUCAUUAAAAUCCCGAUUCACCCGUACAACACAUCGACCUUUCAACAUUGAUCGCAAGAAGUCUCUUUUUUGAUCCCUACCCAAAAACCUUGUAUCUUCCCUUUUUCUUAACCUCCCUAAUUCCCGAAUCUCUGAAUCCUCUCCUCCACCCUAACCAUUUCCGAAUGUUUUUUUUUCUGUCUUUCAAAAAAAAAAAAAAAAAAAUCGAGUUCACCAAUACAACACUGACUUUUAGCAAUGAUUGCCUCCGUCUUUGCCAAAACCCUAUGAAAAAAAAACCCCAAUUCUCUGUCUUUUCCCUCCUGAAGUAUGAAGCUAGCUCUCCGAUCCUUAUAACCCUAAUUCUCCCCCCCUUUCAAACCCUAGCCUUUGAAUUUCUUCAAUCUUCCGUCUUAGAUCUGGAAUUGGCUCUGCCGUCAGAGCUUUCUCCUCCAUUUAUUACCUUAUAAAAGGUUCUUUCUCCGGAAACAAUGUUCCUUGAAACGGCAUAGAGAAUAAGACAGCGUGAAACAGAAUCGAAACCCCCGUAAUCGAGACCACAUUGAGUCGCCCGACCAAAUCAAGUAUCAUAUUGGCUAAGAGGCCCGUAGUAAGACGUGGAUAUUUUCGUAAUUGGAUCAAAUUGGUCCUUCGUGUCAGGCUCGCUUAGUCAUCGAUUUAAUCCUUUCGAUUUUAUUGACUUCCACUAUUGGACUCGAACAGAGCAUUUCAUUACUAGUAAGUAUGCCUUGAUUGAUUGUGAUGGGGUCUCUAAACUGGCCACUGAAUAUUGGCACUGGAAUCUGUUGUUACUCCUAAUAUUCAAGAUAACUGAACAUUAAUAAAAGUCCCCUUUCUUUAUAUUUUCACGGUAUACUCGUAUUACAACACGACAACGGAUAUGAUAUUAAUGAAUUUACAUGGGAGCCAAUAAAGAAUCUGGCAAAUAUAGCAAAGAUGAUAGAUGCUUUUCAUUGACAACAUCCAUCAAAAUUAAGAUAAAAAUCUUAUAAAAGAAACAAGAUCUAGACAAGAUAACAUUCUACUUUUAAUCCUUGUUUGUACCUUUUUUAUAGUUGUGACGCUCAAGAAAUGGAGAACCAAUAACUAGCGAAUUUGACUCAAGAGCCUUCGUUUGCUGAUCUACUGGACAAGACAUUACAAUUAUCACAACCUUCAAGACGACGCAAUUGAGAUGAAGAACUUCAAGAACGACAUAUUCUUCCUCGAAUAGAUGGCGAGAUACAACGUGUUUGGUAUCACGACCUUGGAAGGGACUUCCGUUGUUUGGUGAUUUUACUAGAGGUAGGAACAACUUCUAAUGGUGUUUCAAAUGUUUUAUUUGAAGGAAGUUAUGAAGGCCUUAACAACGAUCAAAUAACUAGGUAGUCUUUCCGUCGUGGUAUGGAACACUACCGAUGGUUGAGAGGCCCUAUCAAUCAUCUUUGAAGAGAACAAAGAUUAGAAUAUGUGGUGAAUAUAAUUCGUCGCAUCAUAGAUUGCCUCAACAUAUGAUGACCGCUCCUCGUGGAACUCGUUCCUAGAAGGGAGGGAGAAAAACACAGACAUAUGCAUGUAAGCCAAUAAUUACAUGUAUAAAUAGAUAGAAGUAAGUAAAAGUAGAUAAAAUUAAGUUAAUUCUAUAGUAUUUGAUAUGGAAGCUUUCUAGAAGCUUCAUAGAUACUACUUUGACUUUAUAGAUAUCUUUAAUUGACUUUUUGGAUUAGAAUCGUGAUCAACAAGUUCGCCAUGUGCCACACAUGUUGCUAACUUGAAGACCAAGCUAACUAUGUGGCCCACAUGUAAAAAAACUUACCUAGUAAGUCAAGGCAUGUAUCCUAAAAAGUCAAUAUAUAUUGGAGGUCUUAUAGAACUUCGCCACGUUGUUGGGGUAGAGAGAGUUUGCCUCAAGAAAACGCUGGGCUUCUGGCUGUCACUAAUUAUUCAAUCAAGCUUGAAAAUAAGGGAAGUCCUAAGUUUAUAUAUAAGUUUUAUCUUUUGAGUAAUUACACCAAAUACACGAUCUUCAAGUAACCUACAACUUCCAAAAUAUGAUAAAAUCUUCUAAAACCUUGUUCAUUCUUAUAAGGAGAUUUUUCUGAACUUCAACACCUCAUAUCUCCUAAUCCGACCGUCCAAACUAACUAAAAUUUUACAUGAGAUAGUAAUGUAUUCUUAUUAACUUCUAAAACAAAUUUCAACCGCAAAUUCGAUGCAGAUCUUGAGAUAUCUUAAAAACCCUAACAAUCGCUUCAAACCCUUGUCUUUAUAUAUCUACGUGCAAUUUCUUCAUAUCUCACAAAAAAUAAGCUUAAAUGCCACGAAAUUUGUAUGUAUAGCUUCUUAACACAAAAAUUUACACUCUAAAAAAUUUUGAGCGAAAAAUUCAUCCGAAUACUUAAGUUAUGGCUCCAACCAUUACUACAAACAAAACUGCUUACUUACUGCCUUUCAUUUGGAAGUGCCGCCUUCAACUCCUUACAACUCCUUCAUAUGAACUCUAAAAGCAAUAAUGUUUUCAUAAAAGAUGUAGGCCUUGAAAUCGCCGUUCCAGUCGCACCUUCCGAUCUUCAAAAGCUGUUGUAAAACUCCUCAUACUCUCAAAAGAGUAACAGUAUAUCUUAAAUAAACACCUUAACUUCAAACGGCUAUAACUUUUUCACCUUAACUCCAUAUCCUCUAAUUUUUGCACACAAAUUGUACCCCAAAUCCUAAACUUUACAAUCCUAGCUUCUUAUUUCCGAAUGCUCCCGAAAGAGGAACCCUAAUCCCUAAUAAGGCCUCGGGCAACCUCCUUGAAGCCCAUUGGGCAUGGUAUUCGACCAAUAGGAAUGAAGUUCCCCAUUCCUUGCCUUCAUUCAAUGAUGCUUUGCUUUUAUCCCUCCCUUUUAGCCUCCUAUUAGUUUAGAUUUUCAUCCUUAGGUUUCCACCUUCUCCCAAGGCUUCAUACUAAACAUUUAGGUCUUAUAUAUAUAUAUUUUUUAAUGUCAAAAUCAAAAUAAGUAAAGAAACAAAGUAAAGUUUCUUAUAUCAACUCCUUUUAAUUUAAUCCACUAGCCACUCUAACACACAUCUAGAUUUAUUAACAUAUAAUAUGUUUUAACUAAUUUUUACAUAUUGUAAGUAUUUAUAGUACGACAACGUAGCCCCUAGUUAGAUAGUAUAUAUAGAGACAAGAGUGAAGCCUUCUUCACUCUUGUCAACUCCUUUCUUGCUUCCAAUCUAGUUUCAAGGGUCUCUAGUUUUCUUGACUUUUGGCAAUAGCCAUUUUAGUUUCUUUCUUAAUAUAUAUAUCUCAAAUUAUUACUUUUUUGUCAUCUGUCUAUGAGAGAAGUCUCACUUGUUUAUUUGUCUUUAUCAUGUUCUUGUCCUUCACACCCUCAAACAUUCAGUCAAUCAAUUGACUUUGCUGUGAAGUGCAACAAUCGGCUUUUUGAAUUUUGAUCUAAAAAUUGCUUAAGUAGGCCUCAAUGUUGCUACAAUUUGAUAACAAUACCAAUAUCUCCUCAACACAUACAUUCAAAAAUGGAAGAUAUACAAAUUAAUGUAAUAUAUUUUAAAUUCUUACCAAGGAAGAAAAGAUUUAUUGUUAUGAAGUAAGAUUGUGCUUAUGUUGUGGAGAACCUAAACAUAGUACUCAACACUAUCCAAAGAAGCAACAAAAUUUCAAAAUAAAGAGCACAGUUGUCAAAGAAGACAAUGUGUUAAAAAAUAAAUUUGUCCAGUUACAAUAGGAACUGUGUGGCUAGAAUCUUAUACAAUUCCUAACAAAGGUCUUAUCUUUUCCUUAAAAUCCUCACUUUAUUUUAUAAUAGAUGUAUAUUUAGGAUCUAAUAGUUAUAAAGCCUCCGCUUUAAUAGAUUCAAGAGCCUCAGCUUGUUUCUUAGAUGUAAAAUUUAUUAAAAGUUAUAAAAUAUUGUGAAUACAAAAAAACUAAACUUAUUUAUAUAGAAAUCAUAGAUGGUUAUUUGUUGUCUUUUGGAGGUGUUAUCUAUGAAAUACUUCCUAUAGAUAUAGCAAUAAAUGGUCAUAGUAGUUGCGUAAUCUUUAAUAUAUUAGAUCUCCUUCUAAUUCAGUCAUUUUAGGUUUAUUGUGGUUAGAAAAGUAUAAUCCUUACAUAGAUUGGAUUUCUCGUACCCUUGACUUCUCUAAAAGUAUAAUUAAAAGUGAAAUUAAUCCAGUAGAAGUUAUAAGUCUAACACAAUAAAACUUGUAUUUAUAGAUAUGAGAGCUUUCUUCGAUGCUAUAAAAGUAGGAUCAUCUUGUGUCAUUUAUGCCAUACCUUUUUCCAAUGAUGCAAAGACUUCAAGUAGCACUCUAAGCCAAUAUCAAGAAUUUUAAGAUAUAUUUGAGAAGAAGAAUGCGAAUACUCUUCUAAAAUAUUAUAUCUAUAAUUGCUCAAUUGACCUUCAAGAAAGAGUACAACUAUCAUUUGGACCAAUCUAUAGUUUAUCACAAAAUGAAUUAGAAAAAUUUAAGGAAUAUAUUGAAGAGAAUCUGGCUAAGAAUUUCAUAUGCCAUUUUGUAGAAUAGAUAUUAAUUCGUUUUUGAAAGAUAUUAAUAAAAUAUACUAAUAAUAUAUAGAAUAGGUAAUUUAGGAAGACGGAUGAUUGGGUUUGUUAUUAAAAGUAAUUAAUUAUAAAAUUAUGGUUAGAAUUUAAAAAAUCAAGAGAAAGUAUAAAAGAAUUGUAGAAGUUAGUUUAAGGGCCAGACUGUGAUAGUCAUGAGCUGGAAUAAGCUUGGUACUACCUCUUUCUUUGUUUAAAUCUUAGAUUUUUUUUUCUUUGUAGAAGAAGAGUUAUGGAUAGUUUCUCAAAAAUGUGAAGUAAUGUUCUAGAAUCAAAAGAGAUUCGAUAUUAUCAAAGGAAGAAUUUGAUUUAUUGAAUGUUGAGUUAUACAGUGGUGAAUUGAAAGAGAAUAAUUAGAAAUAUUUGAGAAGAAUGGAUAUAAAUGGAAGAAUUAUAAUACAUUGAGUAUUGAGAAUUGAGAGUAAUUCAUUAAAAAGAGUCUAUAGAGUCUAGAAUUUUGUGAAGAAGUGUGUUGAGAAUGAUUGUUAGUAGUGAAGGAUUCUAAUGUUUAGAUUAUGGAAUGAUUAUAUAGUAUCUUUUAGAGUAGUGUGGAGUUACACAUUGUUGUUAUCAAUGAUGGCAGAGUACUAUUAGAAAGUGAAAAACAUUGUGGUAUUUCUUGGUGUUUUCAAUAGUUCAAAAUAUAGUUAAUUAUAUGAUUCUAAUAAGUAGAGCUCAUGCGCUUAGUCUUUCCUUGCGUUCAAAUAUUAAAGAAAGAGAAUCCUCAAUAUACUCUUCUAUCACCGAAGAAAAUUAGAAAGUCACUCAAAAGAUGAUGUAAUAUUAAUUAGAAUGGCUAUUCCCAAAAACAAGAAGUCUAGAAAGUCUUGAAACAAGACUAAGACUAAAAAGGCGUUGACAAGAGUGAAGAAGGCUUCACUCUUGCCUCUAUAUAUACUAUAUAAUCAAGAGCUAUGUGGCGAUGUCUUAUAGGACCUUCAACAUGUGUUGACUUUGCUAGCCACAUAUCUUAUCUUGCAAGACAAGUUAUCAAUGUAUGCGCCACAUAAUUGACUUGUUUCACAAGCUACUACACAAAGAUAACUUGUUCUACAAGCUACCAAUAUAUGAUUAGCUUUUUGGCCAAGUUUCUAACCUACAAACACAUCUAAAGUUAAAACUAUAUCUUUGAAGCUUCUAGGAAGCUUCUCUAGAAGAUUUUAUGAAAUUAUUCUAUAUUUACCUACUUCUACUUAAUCAUAUAAGUAACUAUUGAGGUAAAUGUAUAUAUCCAUGAUAUUAUUUCUCUUUUUAGGAAUGAGUUCUAUGAGGAGCGGUCUUCAUAUGUUGAAGAAGUUUAAGAUGUAGGAAGCUGUAUUUGCUACAUACUCUAAUAUUUACUCUCUUCAAAAAUAGUUGAUAGGUCCUCCCAACCAUCUAUAGUGUCUCAUAUCAAGGCGAGAAGACCACCCUAUUAUUUGGUCAUUAUUGAGGCCUUUGUGACUUCCUUCAAAUAAAAUAUUUUGAACACCAUCAAGAAUUGUUCCUACUUCUAAUAAAAUCACUAAACAUCGGAAGUCUCUUCCAAGGUCGUGAUACCAAAUACGUUAUAUCUUGCUAUCUAUUUGAAGAAAGACAUGUCGUUCUUUAGGAUCUUCAUCUUAAUUUUGUCAUCUUGAAGGUUGUGACAAUCGCAAUGUUUUGUCUAGUAAGUCCACAAAUGAAAGCUCUUGAGUUGAAUGUAUUAAUUGUUGGUGCUCCAUCUCAUCACAAAUACACAAAAGCUACAAUGAAAGAUAGAAGAUAGAAUGUUAUGUUUCUUUGAUCUUGUUUCUUUUAUAGCAAAGGUUUGCUAUUCUUUAUCUUGAUUUUGAUGGAUGUUGUUGUUCUCGUUGUGUUUAAGCUUUAAUAUACCAAAGAAAUUGAACUAAUCAAGGUGGGUUCGAAUAUGGGGAAAGAUUGGUUAUAUGAAUUAAGUCUAUUAGUAUCAUAAUUGACUGUACUCUGGCUAUUUGAAAUUAAUUAUCAAACUACAAAACACCAAGGCUUACUACUUCCAUCUUAAUUCAACAAUACUUCCACAUUCUUAUCCGUUCACCUCCCACUUACUCUCUUUGUGGUUUAUAUAUAUUCAAUUACUGAUCUCCAGCUUACCUAUUGUAUUCAGUUUUUCAAUUCAUCACACAAAAUUCAAUAUCUCAACUUACGACUCUCACAGUCUGGCACUCCUGACUAACUUCUUAGUAUUCAAAAACUAUCUAUUACUUGUCAACAACAAAGAAACAAAAAGAGGUAGCACCAAGCUUGCCCCGGCUUACGACUAUCACAGUCUGGCCCCAAUUUCCCUCUCUUCAACCUCUUUAUCAUACCAAAAGUUGGACCGUUGGCCAGCAGAUUCCAAAGGUUAUGACCCUUUGAAUUCUUAACCAUUUAUUCCACUAACAACCUACAAUUAUCAACUAAACUGCCUAAUCAUCAGUCUAAUUCUCAAGGUUAUCAAUAACCAACCAGUAACUUACUACAAAGUUUAUUUGCCUAUUCUACAUAGCCAUAUUUCUAUCUGUGUAAUAUCUCGCAAACAUUAUUUAGCCUCAACUUAUAAAGACAUAGCAGCAUUAUCGUAAUACGUGAAGUCUUGCUUGAGAAUGCUCCGAGCAUCUGGCUAUGGAAGGAAGAAUAGAAAUUACAAUAACAAAAUCUUAAUUCUAAUAGAAUACUAAUAAUGCUCUAAUUAGACCAUAAUAAUACUAAGCAAGCUUAAUCAAAUUCAAAAAAAUUUCAAAGAAAUUUCAAACAAACAAUUAGAAUUCUUAAAGAAAUAUCAGAAGGAUCACAAAUAUCACUCAAAUACAUCUCAAUUCAAUCUUAAUUUAAUUCUAGUUAAAAUCUUAUUAAAAUUCAUUCAAACUUUAGGCCAAAAUUAAUUAAAUCUUAAAUCCUAAUAAAAUCCUAAAUCCUAAAUCAAACCUUAAACAAACCUUAAACCAAACUCCAACCAAAUUCUAAACCAAAUCCUAACCAAACCCUAAACCCUAAAUCAAAUCCUAACCAAACCCUAAUUCAAACCCUAAAGCCUAAAUAAAACCUUAAUCAAAUCCUAAACCA
rnacentral:lncRNA from 1 species